GGAUAAGCCGAAUAUCCUCUGGAGCAGUACGGUAGGAAAUUCUAUCAAAUUUUCCAUCUCCUCGGACUUUGACAACAGCCUCCUUCUGCCUCCCUGCAUCCUUGCUAAGUUCACGGCGGGUCUUCAAAUUAGGACAUAAUCCCCCGAAACAACGCUCACUUGCAGUGGCUUUGUCUGUAACUUUCUCUGCCUCAACAAUGACAUUGUUCGCCCCUGCAAGCCAAUUCUCAACGUUCUCAUAAAUCUUUUCCCCGUUUAGUUCAGCCUCAUUAACCUGCCUCAACAAUGACUCCCUCUCAUACUUCAGAUUGUCAACUUCAGUCUUGAGAUUCUGUAAGUUGCUCGUGUACUUACUCUCACGCAAAUAGCUAAUUUCGCGAUAUGCGGGAGGAGCCAAGCACUUCACAACUUCCACAACAACAGUAAGAAUGAUUUCAGCCAUCUUCAAUCCUUUGUCCUUGUCUCUCUAUCUCUCUUUUUCUGAAGUUUUGAAAAACAAUUGACUAUUUGGGAAGCACACUGAGUGAUUGAACACAAGUGACCACAACAAGAUGGAACAAAAUAAAAAGGCAAAAAAAUACAAAGAGUGGAUGGAGAAUAAAACAGAGACAGCGGCACAGCUGGACACAACUAGAUAGAGAACAGAGGAAAACCAAAUAACAAGACUUAAGAUUACAACAAACAGAGGCCAAGUAUUGUUGAGAUCAGAAGACGGAAAAUUCAAAAGAGUUGAUGGCAGAUGCUGAAUAACAAGACAACAAUGAACGCAAUAAACAGAAGCAAAGUGUGUUUGUGAUCGACAGACGGAAGUAACGAAAGCGGUUGUUGAUUGAAAAUGAAUGAAUGCAAGGAAAGACUGAUAUUGAAAAUUGAUGUCAAUAGCGAAGGAAUAAUUGAACUUUCGCUUAAUUAUUGUUUGUGGCCUUCUUUUACUUUUUAUUUGUGGGUCAUGUCUUUUGGAACUAAUCAUCUUAGGUUAUCCCUUAUAGCUUUAAGGCCGGUAAACCGGUGUCCGUUGGAUUAGCAUAUAGAAAUCCAACGGUGGAUAUAUAUACUUGGAGAACAAAAUUCAAGAGCAAAGCGAGUGCUGGGCUGCAGUUUCUUAAGGAGAUUUAUAUGUCCUCCUCAAAAAUAAAUGUUUUAAGGUAGAUAUUUAGACUAUUUUAUCAUAAAAUAAAUGUAAUUAAUUUUCAAUAAAUAUCUUAUAUAAAUAUAUAUUUAUUUUUUUAAUUACUAAUGACCUUUAAAUAUACAUAUAUACAUAUCACUAAUUCAAAAAAUAAAUUGUGAUUAUUUGUUAAUGUAUGCGAUUACUUGUGAUGGUAAACAAAGUAGAUAUGGUAUAUUUUGAAGUUAAAUUAAAAAAAAAACAGAGCUUUUACCAUUACUUGCCUUAUCAUCUUUUAAAUUAGAAUUAUUAUUCUUUUAUUUUUCAAGUUGCCAACUCAUCCGCAUUCUUUUUUAUUGAAUUUGAAGAUCAAUGAUUAUAAAAUUGUGUAAAAAUUUUAAGUCAAAACUUUAAAUUAAAAUAAUCUUUAAAUUAUUGAGAAAUAAUAACUUAGUAUAACAAAUAUUAUAUCCUAUAAUAUGCAGAAGCUGAAGCAGCAAAUUGGGGGCUGGAAAUUGCAGAAAAUGCAGCAUGCAUCCCACUGAUUAUUGAAUCAGAUUGCCAAGACGUGGUGAAUUUAAUCACAAAAAAGAAGAGUAGCAAGGUGGAGAUUUUUUGGACUAUCUCGGAAGUUCAUGAAAGGCUGAAACGUCUGAACCAAGUCACUUGUCAACAUACCCCCAGAAGCUGUAAUAGUAUUGCUCAUACUUUAGCUGGUUUUGCUUUAAAAGUUGUGUAACCUACUAUUUGGUUGGAAACUUGCCCAACCCAUCUGCUGUACUUGUUCUCCUAGUUACACUUUCCUUUCAAAAAAAAAAAAUAUCCUAUACUUUAUUGCUACAAAAUUACGAAACCUUAUAUUAUAUUAUGUUUUCAUAUUUCUCCUUUAUAGUGAAGACCAUACUUCUUUUUUAAUAAAUGUUAAAGUAUUAACUUAAAUUUUUUAACCAACACAGUCGACCCUUAAGCUAUAUAUAUUAUAAUAUCCCUAUUCUCUCACAGAUUAAACCAAUCUGAUCUCAGAGUAAGUUGAUACCAUGAGUUUGCAUUUGCCAUCAAAGGAGCAUCAUUACUAAUUAAUAUAGAUUCGAUCAAUAGGCAUGAUAAUAAAUUUUUUUAUCUACAAACAUUAUUUUUGAAAAUAUUAUAUCUUUAAACUUAACUAAAUAUCUUUUAACCAUAUAUGUACAGUUUGUUUGAUGUCUUUUAAAUAGUGGAGAUUACAACAGAACAGAUGCGAAUUAGUAGUGACGCUUGAGUUCAGAAGAUUGAAGUUAAGAAAAUUAAGGAAAGGGUAAGGAUGUAUUUUCAAAGUGAAUUAUUGAGAGUUCAGAGAUCUUUGAAGAUUACUUCCGUCAAGAGCUGGGUCCCAUACUCUUAUGCCUUUGUCCUCCAAUCAACCAUAAGACAAAUUAUUAUUGAGUGUGAACAGACUUAUUAACCACCAAAUUUUCAAACUUGUGAUCCCUACUGAAUCUGCAUUCCCCUUUACAAAAGUAAAAAAAAAAAGGGCAAAUAACGAAACAAAAUUCUGUUCCUUGACUGCAAGUGCUGUCGGCAUUUUCAGACUUGGAAGACCCUUCUACUUGCAAGAUACCACUGAAUUUGUCUUUUUUUUUUAAUUACACUGUAUUAUCUUAUAUUUUAUAAAAAAAUUUAAUAAAUAUUAUAAAUUAUAAAUUUUUAUAUUUAAUAUUCUCAAGAUAAAUUAUCAAACAAAUGAUUCAUUUACUAUUUUUUCCUUUAAAUUUUUGUUAUUAAGAAGAUUUUUGGAUAUUGAACGUGAAGGGCUCAACUGAUCGCUAAUUUUACAGCAAUUGCCCUUUUCUUUCUCCCCAAAUUGUUUUGAAAAAUAUCCAGACUCAUUCAGCGAAGUAUCCGAGGCCAAAUGGCUAAAAGAUGGGACACCCACAUGUGCUUCUAAUUACAAAAUCUAAAGUUAGGGGACCAUAACGUACAUUUAAUAUAAUUUAUGAUAGGGGUCCGCCUAUGUUAUCACUGUACAACAGGUUUUGUCUUUUCUGACUCAAUUGCUGUAAACGUUUGCUGAGCCCCUUGUACUCGAUAUUAUUUACUAUUUAUUUAUAAGUAUUAUAAACAUUUCUGCUUACAUAUUAUAUAAAAAUUUAAUUUGUUUCCUUACACUCUUGUUCAUUUACUAUUUUUUUGUAGUAUCAAAAGAAUUUAUAUUUACAACCAUGAUAUAUUAAUUAUCAUACCACUCUAAUAUUAAUAAAAAGACAAAGACAUCCUUAAAUUAAAACAAAAAAAAAUACUUUCUUCUUUUGAGGAAUUACGGUAUCUCAUCUUCCACCACUCAUCCUCAACAAAAUUUUUAAGGAUAUAACCAUUCAUCUUCUUUAUAAUAUCAUAUCACAAUAAUUAAUACUUUCAUGACAAAAUAAAAAAUAAAUUCCCAUAGAAUACAUUCCUCUCCACUAUUAAUUUCUCUUCAUCAGUAACCUUUAUCGACAAUUAAAACCACCAUUAGACUCAUCAUAAAGAGAGAGUAAGAGAAAGGAAGAAGAAACGAGAAAAAAUAUAUGAACCUUUUAUAAUUUUAUAGUGCGUUCACUAAACGAGAAUCGAAAUGAGGUGAAAUCAAAAUGAGAAAUUAAAAUCAAAAUAAGUUAUUUACUGGAACUAUAUAAAUGGUAAUUGAAAUAAGUUGUAUGGUCAUUAAUGUGUUUAUCUCGUCUUAGAAUCAAAAUUGGAAUGAGUUAAAUUAUAAUAAAUUACUAUAAAAUCAUUAAUUAAUUUUUAUCAUAAUUAUUAUUUUAUAUUUUUAAUUAUUGUGAUUAUUAUUAUUAUUAUUCCAAAAAAUAAUUAUUAUUAAUAUUAUUGUUAAUUAUUAUUAACCAUUAAACUAAAAAGUUACUAUUAAUUAUUGUUAAUAUAUUAAUUAAUUAUAAUACUUUUUAUUGUUGUUAAUAAUAAUAACUUUAUGAUUGAGUGUGAACAGUCCGACUUAUUGAUCACCAAAUUUUUAAAUUUGUGAUCCUCAUUGAAUCUGCGUUCCCCUUUGCAAAAGUGAAAAAAAAAAAAAAAUUGCAAAUAAUGAAACAAAAUUGUCGGCAUUUUCAGACAUGUAAGACCCUUCAACUUGCUUUCGAAGAUGGAAAAUGCUACUCAGCGAGAAUGCCGAGAGAAACGGCAUACAGUUUGUCUCGGCCCCACUCCACGUGAAGACUUUCUCUUUUCACAUUUUUUACGCGUUUCUCUUUUCUCUCCCCCCACGUGAACACCUUUGCCUUUUGCUCGUUCAGGUGAAAGUUUAGAAUUUUGAUCUUAUUUCACAAAGCUAAUUUUUUUAUCACAAGCAGGAGAGAAACGGCAUUUCUUAGCAGUAGUUCAUCACUGUAGUAGCGAGCGAGUGAGGAACAAAAUUACCAACAAUUCUAAAAAAAAAAAUUAUAAAAAAUGAUCACAUGCUAUAAUUAAUCAUGACAAUUGACAACAUUACUCCCACCGAGCAAAAGUUAACUGCAUCUUCUCCCACAUUUAAAAAAAAAAUUAUAUUAUAUAACCCACCAAAGUAUAAGGAGUCUUUCCUUAUAAAAAUUAAUAAAUUACUCUUUAUAUUAAAAAAUUAAAAUUUAAAAUGAAAAUGAUUGAUCAUCAAUUAUUAUUAUUAUUAAAUAAUUAUUUUAAAUAAUAAUAAUCACAAUUAUUAUAACAAACAACAACAAUAAUUAACUAAUGUCAUUUUAAUAACUUAUAACAAUUCAUUUUUUAUUUCAAGAUAAAGUAACCAUAUCAAUAAUAAUAUAUGUCAUUUCGAUUCUAAUUUUUACAGGUAAAGUAAAUAAUUUAUUCUGAUUUUUAUUUUUUAUUUUAUUUUAUUCUAUUCUAAUUCCAUUUGAUUCUGAUUCCAACCAAUUCUAAUUACCGAUUAAAAAUUACAUUGUUACUACUUUAAUAAUAACUAAUGAUUCUCCUCACAAUUCUUAUAGGAUUAUCCUUAUUUUAAAAUAUAUUUUUUAUUCGUGUUUAUUAUAAAUUAAUUAAAUUAUAUCAAUGAAAAUUAAAUAAAAAUUUAAGUAAUAAAAAUGAAAAAAUAUAUGUUUUGGUUUGAAUAAAAAAUUAAUAAUAAAAUAUUUUUCUUAUAUAUUUUAAAUAUUUUUAUUAUAAUAAAUAUUUAUUUUAUAUUCUCAAAAUAAAUUAUUAAGUAAACGAUUCAUUAACUCAUUUUUUUUCCUUUAAAUUUUUGUUAUUAAGAAGAUUUUUGGAUAUUGGCCGUGAAGGGCUCAACUGAUCAUCGCUAAUUUCACAGCAAUUGCCUUUUCUUUUUUUCUUUUUUUUUAAUUGUUUUGAAAAAAUAUCCAGACUCAUUCUGCAAAGUACCUGAGGCCCGCCAAAGCGCCGAAAGUUAGGACACCCACAUGUGCUUUUAUUUACAAAAUCUAAAGUUAGGGGGGGUGUCCAUAACGUACAUUUAAUAUAAUUGAUGGUUGGGUAAAAGUCCAUUAAAUUUCAAUAUUCUAUUAUUUAUUUUUAUAUUAAAAAAUUAUUAAUGUAUGAAAAUUCUUAAAAGUUAACGGAGAAGGAAGAGAAAAAGAAAAAGUGAAUACAAAAGAAAAUAUAAAGAAAAAAAAUUAAACGAGACAAAAAUAUGUGGCGUGGGUCAUUCAUAUCUUUUGUCAUUUCUUUUAUAGAGGUACAUAGGGUAGAUAUUUUGAAGUGAAAAGCAAAUCCAAAGUUAAUGAAAAAGAAAAAAAGAAAAAGUAUAAAUAAACGGUAUUCGCCUCACUUUCAAACAUCUAGUUAAACAUGAAUUUCCUUUUACCAAAAGUAAAUUUCCUCUCGGAUUGUCCUCAUUACGUCAAACACGAAUGAUGACGACGCUCUGUCCGUUUCUGGCUCUUUGCUUUUCUCUCUCACAUCAUAUUUAACUGUUGGAUCUUUCUACUAUGCAGCUGGUGUAUGCAUGAUUCCUUGUGACAUGACAUACAGUCAAUUAAAUUCUGACAUGCUUGCAAUAAAGACUGUUAAAGUGACCGGUUAUUCCGGUUGAAUUCACAAGAUCUCUUGUUUGUGUGUUUAUGUUCCAAGUUGGCUCUUUGCUUUUCUCUCUCACAUCAUAUUUAAGUGUUUUGGAUGGUGGCCAUAGAUUCCAAUAUUUCCUUCAAGAAAACUACAAAAAAAUGAUCAAAGGCAUCAAUUUCUACACUCUCACCGAGCAAUACUCUUAACCCAGAAGUAAGUGUAUAAACCAACCCCAGUCAGUCCAUCAAUGUCGUCAACCUCAUACAGCAUAAAAAAAAUCUGUGUCCAUUAAACCGCCAUUUAAACCGUCUUUAUUGAGCCAUUAGACUAUUCGUGUCGUCUUCCCAUCUCGUUGUAGUAUUUUGCCGUUCAAAUCUAGUUAUCAAUUGGGGAAAAUGGGGACCAAUCUGCAAGUCUUUAAAAUAGAAAGAAACUUUAAUUGGACAAUAUAUUAUAAGUCAACAUUAUAUAAUUACUUUGAACACUUAUAUAACUCAAUCGUUCGAGGUUGAGUGAGGAUAGUACGAUACUUUCUCAAGUUUUCUGAGGACAUUCACGUGACAUUGGACUAUUGACUAUAGUCAAGAGAGAAGUCCAAGGAUGCAAGUGAUGAUGACAGAUUCACAAUUCUUUUGAAGAAAAUAUUUUAUAUAAACUUAAUUAUAUGGUAUAAAAUGAUUGGCCUUAAUAAAAUUAAAAAAAUAAUAAAAAUAAUACACGCCUGGGUCAUGCAAUAUUUUCAACCAACUAAUUUACACGCAAAAUUAAACUUUAUGAGUACAUUUAUUUGCUAGCAGAAACUCUGCCAAAUUUUCCGAAAUGUGAAAGUGAACACUUUUAACAACGGCACAUUCAAAGUUAAUGUUGAUGCUGCUGUUAAUUUUGAAAGGCAAAAGGCCGGCCUGGGGGUUGUUAUUAGAGACUCAUGCAACAAAGUUAAAGUGGCUGUUGUGAAAUCCACUCUAUUUACAGGGGAUGUAAAGACUGCAGAAGCUGAAGCUGUUGAAUGGGGGUUAGUGGUGGCAAAAAGUGCAGCUUUUCAAUGCAUAAUGGUGGAGUCAGAUUGUCAAGAAGUGAAGUUAAUUAACAACAAAGAGGGCAGUAGGACAGAGGUUAUGUGGGUGAUCUCAGAAAUUCAAAGUCUUAGCAAGGAUUUCCAGAAUUUCAACUGCUAUCACACUCCUAGAUCAUGUAAUACUCAUGCCCAUUCCUUAGCUAAGUUAGCUCUAAGGAACAAUGAAACUGUUGUAUGGCUGGAACCAAUUCCAGUGGAAGUCGAAUCUGUGUUAUCAUCUUUGCUUUGAAAUCGUUUAUUUCCUUCUCAAAAAAAAAAAAAAACAACGGCACAAAAUGCCUGUGAUAAUGAAACAAUGUACCCUUCGUGCCUGCUUUCGUCUAAUAAUAUUUGAUACGUACAUAUUCAUUUUAAAAUUGGCGAAUCGUAAUAAAAAAAUUUAUAUAUAAUAAUUGAAUGAGAUCCAUGGUUCACAAUUGCAAAUUAAAGGUUGGUUUUAUAAUAAAAAUCGUUUUGUGCAUACCAAAUUAGAAAAGAUUAUAAGUAAAUUAAGAUUUUCAAAAUUUGACUAGUAUUAUAUUACGUACAUCAAUAUAAUAUAAAUUUCUUAUAUAUAUAUUUUACUCUGUAACCAAUGCUUUCAAAAACUUUGUACUUGUAUGUUUGAACAACUUUUUUCGCUUUCUAUUUAUAUACGAUCUCAUUUAUGUUUACAUAAAUUUUCAUAUGUACCCAAAUUAAGCAUUAAAUACACACACUUUGGUAAGACACAUUUCUAGUAUCAGAAAAUGAUAUUAUAUUGAAUGUAAUGCUUCAAUGAAUUUUAUUACUAUAUACUAAAAUACUCAACGAUCUCCAUUAAAAAAAAAAAAAGCAUGAUUAGAAUGAUUAAAGAUCAUUUGAUGAGGAGUUUCAUCAUUAACUGUGUCGAAACACAGCAGCAAUCCACAAUACACUUAACACGAGAGGGGCACACAAGCAUGCAUGAAUCUUCCACCAUUAAAUCUGAAAUCAUAAAAAAAAAAGAAAUAAGAUGAGUGUUGUUUUACGGUCUGAAAGCCGAUUCCAAAUAAUAAUAAUAAUAAUAGUAAUAGUAAUAGUAAUAGACCUUUGUUAAUAAUUACUACUAGUUGUCUCUGCCUUUUGCAUCUUCCUCCUUUGUAUCAUCGUCCUCUUCCAAUCACACGGCUAGACCAGUAUGUCUCGAGAAUCUCUACUGCCUUCUCAGAGAUCCCGUUGUCGUCAUGACUUCGUAGAUUUUCAAUCUUUUCUAAUCCCUCAGCCUCCUCAACCAACUGGGCAUAUUGAUUAAAAUCUCCAACGGCGGUACCCGUAUUCAUUUCAGCUAACCCGACCUUCAAAAUGUUCUCUAAUCCUUCUAAGCAAACAGUGACGAUCAUUGGAUCAGCGCAUAGAAGCAGAUCACACAAUGGUUUUAUACACCCCUCUUUCACGAGGUACUUGAUUUGCUCAUGAGUGCCAAACUUGGUGGCAUUCGAAAUUGCCCAAGCGGCGUCCUUCUUUGUAUCAAAUUCAGCAUUUUGAAGUAGAUUGACAGUGGGACCAAUUAAGCCGGAAUCAAUUACCGCCUGAAUCUGUUCCCUGUUUCCACAUGCGAUAUUUGAAAUAGUCCUGCAUGCAUCCUUCUUAAUGCGUUUUCCAUGAUUAUGGAUCAACAGGCCCAAAAGGUAUGGCAGUGCACCACAGUUAAUUAUAUACUGAGCCUGGAAAUCAUCCCCCGUCACAAUAUUUCCAAUAGUCCGCAGGGCAGGAGUGAGCACUGAGGAUGAUGAGUGACCAAGGAGCUCAACAAGUCGUGGACAGACACCUGCCUCGAUCACAGCUUGAACAUUGUCAUUCGUACCAUCAGAAAGACAGGAGAGUGCCCAGCAGGCAUCAGUCAAGACCUCUUCAUUGUUUGAACGAAUAAGCUGUGCAAGCGCCGGAAGAGCUGGCCUUACCUGAUCAAAUGGUGGUUCUGGCUUGCCCUUGCAUAAAUUAGACAAUGUCGUUGCGGCAAUUCUCAGCAUUGAAAGCUUAGCAUGCUUAUUUAACUCUGCCAGCAAUGGAAUCAAAGCUCCUUCACUAAGCACAAGAUCACGGCAUCCAGAUGAGUCACCAGCAACAUUUCCCAAUGCCCAAACAGCCUGCUCGCGGACAUCAUCACUUGGGGAAGCAAGCAGCUUCACGAAUAUUGGAACGGCACCGUGGUCAAUCACCACCUUAAUGUUCUCUGAAUUUCCAAAAGCAAUGUUUGAAAGAGCCCAAGCAGCCUCAUACUGAAGUUGCGGAUAGUCUUCCCUCAUAAGAAACUCAACAAAGCGCUGGACAACGCCAGAUUGUAUGACUUUAUCAAUUUGUGGACUCCUCGCAAUCGAAAGCAGUUUGCUGAACUGAGUAGUUGCUUCCAGCUGUAGGCCGCUGUCAUCUGACCAAACCCCAGCAACCAUCCCGGGUAAACUCGCCUACUUAUUUUAGGAGCAGGAGCAAGAGGAGGAAAUUAAGUUAGGGAUUUGGAGUGAGAGUGAAAGUGGAGAAAAAGCAAGAGAGGGAAAAAGCUGAUUGUUGAGAAAUAUAUACCUUUCGUAUGGUUGUGUUAAGGUCGUCCUUCCAAGCCCAACAUGCUUUACCCCGCCCCUGCACUUUGUGUAAUUUGGGCGUACUUAAUUUUCCUUCAGAGAAAAUCUUCAUAUCGGGGCAAUCAUCCACCACUAAUCUUUCCAAAGAUGGGAACUUGAAAGCACAAUUGCCAGAGCAGAAGCUUGUCAGACUUUUUAAGUGUAAAAGCUUCAACUCCUUCAAUUCUCUGAAACUAAUAACCUCAUCUUUUGCUACAACAUCAUCCACCAGUACUAUUUCUGUUAUCAUAUAGCAUGAUGCUAUCUCCAUAUAUCUAAGUCGCACCAGAGUCUUUGCAAUUGAGGAUGUUAAUACGAUUUUCAAGUUGUUGCAAUGCGAUACCACCAAAUUUGUAAGAUUCUGAAAGGAUGUCGAUGAUGGCACUAGAUUGACCAAACGGUCACACCCCACUACACGUAGAAUAACCAAGUUGUUCGCAACAGAGGACUCCUCUAUCAAAAUGUGCUCCAUAGGAUAAAGCCUGUUUGCUUCUCUUAUUUCUACCCACAUCCCAUUUUCAACCUUCUCAUACACCAACGGGGCACUAUAUCCUCGUAUUUGGAGGACUUUCAUUGUGUGAAGUCUCUGGAGGAAGUCACCAAGUGAUAAAAUAGUCCGCUCAUCACCCAACGUCACAUAAAGAUAUUUUAGUUUGCAAAGCAAGCCUUCAGAAAAUAGAUAUUUAUUUGUUACUAAGUGCUCUGCAUCAAUAUUCAACUCUUCCAAAUUAGGAAAUACCUGGGAGAUCAAUCAGAACCCAAAAAAAAAAAAAAAUGCAAGAUGAAUCAAUUGAUGAGAAAUAUAAGUUACCACUAAUUUAUAAAAUAUAUUUUAUUCAAUAAAUCUUAAACUUAAAAAAAAUAGUAAUAAUAAUACGCCUAACAUCUAGAAUAAUUAUGAAUGAAUACUAUACACUAAUCUGUAAGAGAGUUACGUUGCUGACAAUUUGACUUUUAGUAAGAAACCAAGCGAUAAAGGCAAAGGCAAUAUAACUCUAAAGCUUUAUGAUAUAAACUCUCACGGUACAUACAUAAGAAUUGAAAAAUUGAUUAUAAAAUUCUUGUACGUACCCUUUCCAUCAAGAUAUUAGUAGUUCUUUUGUAUCUCGCCAUCAAUUCACGACAUCCAGAUAUCAUUAAUCCUUUCAAGGAUGGAAAUUCAAGAAUAUCAAGAUCUCCAGUGCAGAAGCUUGUGAACUUUUCAAGACCAGACAUCCUCAGAUAUUGCAACUGGGGAAACGUUACAAUAUUAUUCUUCAUUUCUUCUUGGUUGUCCACGACUAUUAACUCUUCCAAGACGGGACAUCUGACUAUCUCAAUGCGUUGGAGUCGAACCAAGCUACUAACAGUAGCAGAUGAAAAUAGACAUCUUAAAUUCUCACAGUCCCACAGGGUCAAGUGUGUUAAAUUCUGAAUACCACAAGACAUGACUGUAACUUGGUUUUGCCAAAUCCUCUCAACAUUUAUUGACACCAACUCCAACUUCUCUAACUCUAGUAACGGAACCUGCUCGAUCAAAAAAUUAACUUGUUAAUUACAAGCAACAAUCAUUUCUGUUGAUCGACAAAUCAAUAAAAUUACUCUUUCUCUGGUUAUAGUUCUUUUCAGUUUUUCAUACAAACAACCGUUAAUCAAGUUUUCCAAAUUAUUCCUUACUAAAUGUAUAGAUUUAGACGGCGGCUAAUAUAAUUCAUAUUGAAAAUAUUCUUUGAUUGUAACGAAUUUUGUAAUAUUAAAUUUUGGUUGAUUCGCAAUAGGACCUACUAUCCAGCGCGAGCAGUUCUCGGGGAUUUAACUACUGGCACCUCGAUUAUAUAAAAAUUUGGAAUAUUUUCAAAGGAAAUCACAUAAUUCCCCCUUGCAAAUUAGGCGAGAAGAGUCUCAUCAACAAUCAAUAAGCAGAUAUCACGAUGUUUAUUCAGUGAUUACAACAUAUUUAUAUAUAUAUAUAUAUAAUAUAUUCAGUGAUUACAACAUAUUUAGUAUUCCAUAACAUGAUGUUUAUAAUAAUAAUUAUUAUUAAUUCACUUAUUGUGUUAGAGUACCUUUUCUUUCUCUAAGAAUGUAUUUGUUACACCCUACUAUACAUCGGAUGAAAAAUUUAGAAUAAUUGUGAAAUAUAAUUAUUAAUCACUCUUUGCCAUAUUUGUUAUCAAACAGGAAUAUAACAAAGAAAAAAAAACAAAAAUUAUAGAGAAUUAAUAAGACGAUUGACUUAUUAAUAACUGACCUUCUCAGGGAAAAGCGUAUUAGAAAUUUGGACAUUGUCCUCCAAAAUGAUUUCAUGUGACUGCAAAUCAUUAGCUGAUUCCUCUUGUCUCUGUUGACAUUGCAGGUGUCUUGAUUUAAGAGUGUAAACUUAAUUGUGAACACAAUCUUAAUGCAUAGAUACAAGAUGUUUAAAAAUUAGUAUAAUAAACUUAGCACUAAAUCCAAAUUUGAUAUUUCGGAUUCCAUGAUUAAGAUUUUUUAAAUAAAAAUUUAAUUGAGUUAAUUUAAAAAUAAAAAUUAAAUAUGAAAAAUUAGACUUGCAAUUAUGGAUUUAAUUUUGAUAAAUAAUGAAUGUUCUCUUUAUAUUUUUUUUAAAAGGUAAAGGAGCAUACAAAGCCCAAAUUCAUUUUUUUAGUCCCUUACUCUCCCAUGAUUCAAACUUGGGUGGUUGUAGGAGGACUGAAAAUAUAUAAGACAGUUAACUUCACUUUUUUUUUUCUUUUUCUUUUUUUCAUUUUUUGUUGAGAGAAAAGAGAAGAAGGAUAUUACAAAGCAUGAAGCUCGUGCAAUAUGAGGGCAAUUAUGGUUUUUUCUUUAAAUUAAAAUGGUAAGAUUCUGAAGCUAAAAGAUUAAAAUAUUAAUUAAAUUGCAAACAUUAAAGAUUUUUUUUCCAAAAUUGGUUGCUUUGAAAAUGAGAAUAAUAUAAUAUUUGAAGACUUUUCAAAAUUAAUUACUGUGAUGCACUAGAAAUUUCUAGCUUUAGUCUAAUGUAUAAAUUGACAAAACGAUAUUAGAAUCCCAGGUGAAAAGAACCCUCUCACACCAAUUAUUUAAAUUAGGAAUGAUCAUACCUCUGACUCUGGCGAACUGAGGGCGAGGCGUGAACCCCUCAUCUCGAGACGCUUGAGAUGGGAAGAGCCCACUUUGACUAAUUCAUUACGAAAAUAAUCGACAUCUUGCUCUUGCAAUCCACAUAAGCGAAGGAAUUCAAUUCUCUGCAGUUGCACGAUCAGCGAAUCCUUCAAGCGAAUCUUGUCAUAUAGCUCGACUCUGAAUUCACGACACCAAAAGUUGGUUCUCUCCCGAAACCAACCUCCAUGUCCAAUGCUUAUUCUGUACCUUUCCAGCUUCUCCAAGAUCAGGCCUCUGGGCAGAGUGCUGACGUCACGGAUGUCUAAUUCCAAAGAGGUCAAGUUGGGCAAAUGCUUCAACUCCUCAAGGCUUGCAUUCUUAACCCCUUCCACCUCCACCUCCCACUCCCAUUCAUCAAAGCUAUUACCACCUAUAUAUAGUUCUUCUAAAUGGGAUAAUUUUGACAGUAUAUUUGGCGGAAUAACUUUUAGGUUCCAACAUUCUCUCAAAUCAAGCAACUUUAGCCAAGUCAAUUCACCUACUUCUACCGGCAACUUCUUAAUUUUAGAACCUCUUAAGCAAAGGAUUUCUAGUUUCUUCAAGUCUCCUACAACACUUAGAUCACGCAAGUUGCAGCGACACAAACUCAGUGUUCGAAGGUUUGACAGGAGACCAAGUGAUGAAGGCAGUGACCGUAGAAACAUGCCAGUCAAGUUUACAACUCUGACCUCGAUCAUCCUCUCGAAAAAGUUGUUUGGCAUUGUUAAUGAUGAAGAUUCACGACGAUCAGCACGUAUAAAAAGAAGUUCGAGUUGAGGACAUUCCAGUACUUCAGGAAGCAAAUUAGUCUUGAUACCAUGUAAGACGAUUGAAGUGCAAUGCUUUAUUGCACUUCCGUCUGACCAUUCCCUGCAACCAUCAACCUGCUCAUUUGUAGCAGUAAACACAUUUCGUUCAGUAGAUGCAAUUGAUACGGCGACAUCGCGAACUACAUCAUGCAUAGAAAACAACUCUUUCUUCUGGCUUAUAUGGUCAAGCAACAAACAAGAAUCUUUGAGCUGGUGCACCAAUGUAUGUACUCGAUUUCGUGCUGCUUCCAUCUUAUUCACACCUUGAAAUAAAGUCAAUCCCAUACCAAACAUUAACAGUUCGUCAAUAGAUGCUAUGGCUGUAUAUCCUAUUAGCAAAAAGAUGUUCUUCAGCUCCUCCCCUACCAAUUUGUCGUAACUCCACUUUAUGGCUUCAUAUGCAUCUGGCUGUACAUCCUUAAAAUUCGAUGAAGAAGGCCUUCCUAGUUUUUCCAAUGCAUCCUUCCAUUCCUGUAUGCUCUUGUUCCUUAAUGCCCUUGCAACCGUCACAAUGGAAAGUGGUAGACCUGCACAUCCCUUUGCCACACCCCUUGCUACCGAUUGGAAUUCACUGCCUUCAAUAUAAUCACCUGCCAUCUUCUUGAAUAGAUUCCAAGCUUCUUCUUCGUUUAAAACACCAAUUGAGAAAUUUGGUCGAGAAUCCAUCUUCCUAGACAAUACAUCUAGACUUCUGGCCGUCAGCAAUACUUUACAACCUUUAUGACCAUCUCCAUGAGGAAUUCCGACAACCCGCAAAUCAAGAUUUUCCCAAAUGUUGUCUAAAAUUAUCAGGAUCUUCUUCUCUGCUUCUAUACGUUUAAAUAAGCUGUUUGCCCUUCCUGAUUCACUUUCCUCAUGAAACUUCAGGCCUAAUUUAUCUGCUAUUUCUCCUUGAAUCUCUCGUAUGUUUUUAUUAUGGGAUACCUCAACAAGAACCACUUGAUAAAAGAGUUCACUCUUGACUUUCCUAGCAACUUCUUCCGCCAGGUUCGUCUUUCCGAUUCCGCCCAUUCCAUAAAUCCCAAGCAUGUUGACAUUGGGAUUUUUUAAUGCAUCCAUUAUUUCAUUCAGAAUGGGCGUUCUUGAUAGAAAGGCCUCGUAGUCUUUGUUAGGGAUAAGCCGAAUAUCCUUUGGAGCAGUACGGUAGGAAAUUCUAUCAAAUCUUCGAUCUCCUCGGACUUUGACAACAGCCUCCUUCUGCCUCUCUGCUUCCUUGCUAAGUCGACGGCGGGUCUUCAAAUUAGGACAUAAUCCCCCGAAACAACGCUUACUUGCAGCGGCUUCAUCUUCUGUAAAUUUAUCUGCCUCUUCAAUGACUUUGUUGGCCCCUUCAAGCCAAUUCCUAACGUUCUCUUCACUUUCUUCCCCGUUUCGUUCAGCCUCAUCAACCUGCCUCAACAAUGACUCCCUCUCAGACUUCAGAUCGUCAACUUCUGCCUUGAGAUUCUGUAAGUUGGUCGUGUACUUACUCUCACGCAAAUAGCUAAUUUUGCGAUAUGCGGGAGGAGCCAAGCACUUCACAACUUCUACAACAAUAGUAAGAAUGAUUUCAGCCAUCUUCAGUCCUUUGUCCCUGUCUCUCUAUCUCUCUUUUUCUGAAUUUUUGAAAAACAAUUGACUAUUUAGGAAGCACACUGAGUGAUUGAACACAAGUGACCACAACAAGAUAGAGAACAGAGGAAAAAAAUAGAAAGAGUGGAUGGAGAAUAAAACCGAGACAGCGGCACAGCUGGACACAACUAGAUAGAGAACAGAGGAAAACCAAAUAACAAGACUUAAGAUUACAACAAACAGAGGCCAAGUAUUAUUGUUGAGAUCAGAAGGUGGAAAAUUCAAAAGAGUUGAUGGCAGAUGCUGAAUAACAAAACAACAAUAAACGCAAUAAACAGAAGCAAAGUGUGUUUGUGAUCGACAGACGGAAGUAAGGAAAGCGGUUGUUGAUUGAAAAUGAAUGAAUGCAACGAAAGACUGAUGUUAAAAACUGAUGUCAAUAGCGAAGGAAUAAUUGAACUUUCGCUGAAUUAUUGUUUGUGGCCUUCUUUUACUUUUUAUUUGUGGGCCAUGUCUUUUGGAACUAAUCAUCUUAGCCUAUGCCUUAUAGCUUGAAGGCCGGUAACCGGUGUCCGUUGGAUUAGCAUAUAGAAAUCCAACGGUGGAUAUAUAUACUUGGAGAAUAAAAUUCAAGAGCAAAGGGAGUGCUGGGCUGCAGUUUCUUAAGGAGAUUUAUAUAUCCUCCUCAAAAAUAAAUGUUUUAAGGUAGAUAUUUAGACUAUUUCAUCAUAAAAUAAAUGUAAUUAAUUUUCAAUAAAUAUCUUAUAUAAAUAUUUAUUUAUUUUUUUAAUUACUAAUGACCUUUGAAUAUACAUAUAUACAUAUCACUAAUUCAAAAAAUAAAUUGUGAUUAUUUGUUAAUGUAUGCGAUUACUUGUGAUGGUAAACAAAGUAGAUAUGGUAUAUUUUGAAGUUAAAUUAAAAAAAAAAAAAACAGAGCUUUUACCAUUACUUGCCUUAUCAUCUUUUAAAUUAGAAUUAUUAUUCUUUUAUUUUUCAAGUUGCCAACUCAUCUGCAUUCUCUUUUAUUGAAUUUGAAGAUCAAUGAUUAUAAAUUUGUGUGAAAAUUUUAAGUCAAAACUUUAAAUUAAAAUAAUCUUUAAGUUAUUGGGAAAUAAUAACUUAGUAUAACAAAUAUUAUAUCCUAUACUUUAUUGCUACAAAAUUACGAAACCUUAUAUUAUAUUAUGUUUCCAUAUUUCUCCUUUAUAGUGAAGACUCAUACUUCUUCUCUAAUAAAUGCUAAAGUAUUGGCUUAAAUUUUUUAACCAGCACAGUAGACCCUUAAGCUAUAUAUACUAUAAUGUCCUUCUUUUCUCACAUAUUAAACCAAUCGGAUCUCAGAGUGAGUUGAUACCAUGACUUUGCAUCAUUCGUGAUCGGGUAAAAGCUCAUUUAGUCCCUGUAUUUUAAGAUUAGUGUCCGUUUAGUCCCUAUAUUUUUAAAAAUACCCUGAAACAUCCAUGUCGUUAAAGUAUUGAUACCCCUACCGUUACUUUUUAUUUCUUUUGGCUUACUUUUACAAUAUUACCCUUUUAUAAUAAUUUUUUUGUUUGGACAUUAAAAAAAAAUAAUUAAAUUAUCAAUUUAACCCUAUAAAAUAAAAUAAAAAUUAUAUUAAGUUUUUUGCAAGCACCAUUUGCUCACUUGUUAGUUUGCAUACAAUUUUUGAUAAUUAAAAAUUAAUAUAAUUUUUUUAGGGUUAAAUUGGUAAUUUAAUUAUUUUCUUUUUAUUAAUGUCCAAACAAAAAAAAUUAUUAUAAAAGGGUAAUAUUGUAAAAGUAAGCCAAAAGAAAUAAAAAGUAACAAUUUAAUUUUUGACAAUUAAAAAUUAAUAUAAUUUUUUAUUUUUUAGGGUUAAAUUGGUAAUUUAAUUAUUUUCUUUUUAUUAAUGUCCAAACAAAAAAAUAUUAUAAAAGGAUAAUAUUGUAAAAGUAAGCCAAAAGAAAUAAAAAGUAAUGGUAGGGGUAUCAAUACUUUAACGGCAGGGAUGUUUCAAGGUAUUUUUUAAAAUAUAAGAACUAAAUGGAUAUUAAUCUUAAAAUACAGGGACUACGUGGGCUUUUACCCUUCGUGAUCAAAGGAGCAUCAUUACUAACUCAUAUAGGCUCAAUCAAUAGGCCUGAUAAUAAUUUUUUUUUUAUCUACAAACACUAUUUUUCAAAAUAUUAUAUCUUAAGACUUAACUAAAUAUUUUUUAACUAUGUAGAUAUAGUUUGUUUGAUCUCUUUUAAAUAGUGGAGAUUACAAACAAACAUAUGUGAAUUAGUAGUAUGUUGAGUUCAGAAGAUUGAAGUAAAGAAAAUUAAGGGUUUCUUGAUCUAGGGAAAUUUCAAAAGAGUGAAGCGUCCUCGAAAUCGGAAGACGAAAAUAAGGAAAGGCUAAGGGUGUAUUUUCAAAGUGAUUCUAUUAGGAGAUCUUUGAAGUAGGAGUGGGCAAUCGGGUUUCGGUUUAGGUUUCAACCCAAUCGGAUUGGAGAAUUGAACCCAAUCGGGUUGAAAACACCAACCCCAACCGAACCGAACCAAAUUUAAUUCGGUUUGGUUCAGUUCGGGUUCAUAAUUCGGAUCGGACUGGGUAGUAAUUCAGGUUAAAAUUUCGGUUCGGGUUAAUUCGGAUUAGAAUAAUUCAAUCUAAAAUUUUGGGUUAGUUCGGUUUAAAACGGGUUGGAACAAUUUAAUCCAAAAAUUCUACCAACAACCACUUAAAAUCUAAAAAUCUAAAUUCCAAACAUCCUUAACAACAAAUAUCAACUACAAACCAUCUUUAACAACAUUUCAACAAUAACAAUAACAAUAAUAACAACAACAAUAAUAAUAAUAACAACUAUGAAUCAACAAUUCAGCAUAUUGCCAUAUUCUAAAUUAAAAAAACACAAAUUAAUUAAUUAAUUAAUUAACAAUCUCCAAUUUAAUUUAUAAUAACAGCAAAAACCCACUCCAAUUUAAUUAAUAACAGUCUCAAAUUGUUCAAUUAUCAGUCAACAGCAACAAACCCACUCCAAUUUAAUUAUAACAAUCUCCAAUUGUUCAAUUAUCAGUCAACAGUAACAAACCCUCUCCAAUUUGUCACGAACAACCUCUAAUUGUUCAAUUAUCAAUCAACAACAACAAACCCACUCCAAAUAAUUGAACAAUUAUUAAUUAAUUAAUUUAAAAUAUCCAAUUUAAUUAAUAACAACACCCAAGAGCAAGUUAGCAAUAAACCCACUACAAAAUCCAAAUAUAAGUAUAAACUAAGUGUCAAAUCGUGACCGUGUGGGGCUGAGUGAGACCGUCGACCGAGGGUGUGAGAAAGGAGAAGAGGGAGCAGGGAGGUAACGUGGUGUGUGUGAGUUUAUAUAUAUAUAUAUAAUUUUUAAAAGUUAAAACAAAAAAAAAAAUUUAACCCAAUCCAAACGCCCACCUCAUAUUACUUCCCUGUUUUUUUUUUUUUUUGAUUACAUGAGACUAUUGCUCAGAUUACAACUUGUUGAUGCGAGAUUCUGGUUCUCCUCAUUCUACGACCAGGAUCUCUACUCGAUCAACUUCACCACGACCAGGAAGUCUGCUCGUAAGGCUCCUUCUCCAGAGGUUCCUGCGCACACAGACAAGUCAGAGUACGCCGGUUGUUUUCCCGGCGCAAACCCUCCGACGCUCAAGUCAGAUAUCCAGGUUUGGGGAACACUUGCCACAAAUCUUAUGGCCUUUAGGUCCGUUCUCUCCCUCUAGAAUUUCUUUAGUCUCUCUUUUAUCUCAAAAAAUUGCCAACCCCUUUACCUUCGUUCGCUACCUUUUUGUAGGCUGCCUCUGAAUCCCAGUUUUCCGCUUUUUGCCAGACGGUAUGGGACUCUGACUGCUGCGUUAUGGGCAAAGGUGGGAUCUUGCGUGUUACGCCACGGUUCUGGGGAAAGCGUGGCUGUCGUGAUUCUGUGAGAUCUUGCAUGUUACGUCAUGGGUCUGGGGAAAGCGUGGCUGUCGCGCCUAGAUUCUCGAGCUGGAGAGCAUGUCUUGCCAACUGUCGUCGGCCGGGUCUCCUCACCACUCGGCCUCUAGCCGAAAUGACCUUAUGCCUCUCACAGGAAGUUGGCCUCGCGGAUGACGUGCUCGUGGACGAACAGGAUAUUUCUGCUCCUGUUCCCCCGCGCACCAGGCUUUUACGGAACACACCGGUCCGCAGAACUCUGCCAUCAGAUACCUGCUCACCAUGCCUGGUCUCGUCGACGUAUUUCUCCCAAACACCGGUCCCCCAGUUUCUGGUGUUGGGUAAUGUAGUGGACCAGCAGUAGAAACUCGACAGUACUCGCUCGCGUGGGAUGGGAAAAGGCUGCCAAGAGUCAUGUCGCAUUUAAUUGCGGACGAGGUGACGUGACAGAAAUCCCCCCCUCCAUUUGAAUUUCAAACCGACGGUUAUGAGACUCUCGGGAUUCGGCGCUGUUAAAUGCUGGCAACCCAAGAAUCCGUCCUCAUUAGGAAAACCAAAUCUUCUCGAACGGCAUAUUCAUUAUUCACUCCGUCUCCGUCUCUCCGGCAAAGCAGUUCCGGCAUAAAAGCCUCCAUCUCUGACUUUCACCGACUGAACCAUUACUUCAGGUAUUUCUUCUAUCUCCUUGGUCUCGGAUAGUUGUAGAUAAUUUCUCUUCUCUUCUGUUUGGGUAGUAGUUGGUGGUGUUGUGGUUAGAACUUAGGGAAUGUCGAAAGGCAAAGAGAAGGUCGUUGAGGUUGACGACGAUGAGUUGGACUUCCUGCCUAGUCUGCUCACCGAUCCUGCUUUUGACCCCGGGAUCCCCUUAGAGCCCACUAGAUCCAGUGUUGGUACUAGCGCUAGGAGGAUGUCUCCCCAAACGACCUCCUCGAGCGAAAAAAACGAUGAGGAGGGGUCUUCUGGAUCGGAGAACACCCUGAGUGAGGGUCGAGGAGAUGAUUCUGGUGAGGCGUCUCCAUCAGGAGCGCCGCGACCCGAAGUGAGGAGUACGAUAGGAGGUAGAGCCCUAUCGCAGGAUUACGCUAUCGAUUAUAUGACGUGCACGACCACGUUUAAUGAGCUCGACGACCUCCGGCUGAGGUAUAGCAUUCCUGGUGAAAUACUUCUCAAGGUCCCAGGAAAGAAGGAUUCUCCUAGCCGACCUCCUAGGGGAUAUGUUACCCUGUAUCUGGAUAGCUUUAAGUACGGGCUGAGGUGUCCCUUGCAACCUUACUUUGCCCGGAUACUUAGCGGGUUGAAUCUAUCUCCUGGUCAGUUGAACCCAAACGGUUGGAGAGUGCUCUCUGGUCUGUUCAUACUGUGGGACAGAUGCUGCCAAAGCGAGCCCACGGUCGACGAGGUGAUGCACCUGUACCAGCUGAAAAGCAGCCCAAAAGACGCCGGCUGGUAUUACUUCCAAUCAAGUACCAAGACCAGGAAACCCAUAACCGAUCUCCCUACUGGUGGUGGUGGGAAUUGGAAGAGGAAGUUCUUCUUCGCAGGGGGUCCCUGGGGUCAGGUUGCACAGGUUGAUGGGAAGGAUUAUCGGGUCUCACCCCGUUUCACGGUCCCAGGUUGCCUGCUCGCUUCAGAUGUCUUGUAUCCAUAAUUGUUCUUGUUUUAUUGGUUUGUCUCUAACCCAGUGUCUGUUUGUGUUGUAGUUUCUUGGGGUGUCCACUUCUCACUCAAACCGGGACAGCUCAAACGGGUCGAGGCUGUGCUAGUCAAUUCCUGCUCGAGCCGAGAGCUGUUAACCACAUAUAACUUGCUCGAGUCUCGCCUGAUACUUCCCGGCCAUAGGAUGGAGGACGCUGUGAUUGGGGCUCUGACCCGAAAACGUUCUCGACCUCCGACCACGAAGAGGGACCAGAGUAAGGAUGCCCCUACUGCAAAGCGGGCCAACAUCGUGCAGCAGGUCCCACCCUUGAAGAUUUUACCUCCCGCUCCUGUAAAAGUCGGGGAAGCCAGUGGAGCAGCCACAGAUCCUGCUUCCUCUUCGCCUCCUGUCGGGCCUCGACCUCGCUUACCUGACAGCCGAGCGGAACACCUGGUCCCCUACCUCAAUGAGUUAUCUAAACUCGUGAGCAAGAAGGACCUGGAGGACUUUGACGGCUGCACCCUGGGUGAGCUGGUGGGGGCCAUGCAGCAUAGCGCUUUCCACCUCAGCUGCAUGACCACCUAUUACAAGGCUAAGGUCGGCCGUUACGACCGGAAGAUGAAGGAGGAUAUUCAAUCGGCGACGACCAGAGCUGACGUUGCCGAGAAGAAAGCAGGGGAGCUGAAUCUCGAGAACCUGAAGCUGGUAGAGCAAGAAUCACUUGCUCAAGCAAAAGCCAUUACCCUUGAAGAGGAGCUUACCAAGGUCAAGGAGGAUCUGCAAAGGCAGAAGGCUAUGUAUGAGGCUCAGCUCGAAUCUCUCCGCGACUCCCACCGAGCCCAGGUCGAGAACUUGGAGGGGGAGGCCGACAACCAGUACGACCAGGGACUUCGGCAUUCCUACCGUUGCAUCAUGGCCGUCCUCGGGAAGCAGCACCCGGAUCUGAAGAUGGAUGACCUUGCAGCUGGUGUUGCUCAACAUAUGGACGAGGAGGCGGCCAAGGAAGGUGCUGAAGAGGUAGAGCCGAUCGUGAUUGAGGAGGAUAACUCUCCUCCUCAUGCAGCCCCUGCUGACGGGGGCGAGGCGAGCACCCCCCCGGACGCAACCGGUGAUACCCCCCUGCACCUGAGGAGGUCCAGCCAACCGAUGCUGCUCGGCUCGCUGAUCCACCAUCUUUUUGACAUAUUUCUUUUGUAUUGUAAUGAACAACGUUAAUGAAAUUUAUCUCCUCUGUUAGCCAUUAACACAUUAAUAAAAAUGUUGUUGAUUACUUUCUUAUGUUGUUAUCAUAGUUAUUUUUCGUCUGAAACUCUGCUCGCCUUUGUCUGAUCGAGCAGGAUCUGGCUCGGCGUAUGGUUUUGCCAUACAUCUUAGAAAAUAUUCCGACGCCUGGGAUUCUGCUCGCCUUCGCGUGGUCGGGUAGAUCCUGGCGAGUUUGGCUUCUAGUUUUGCCAUAUACAGGCUUUGAAUGCUUUGGAGUCUGCUCGCCUUCACGUGGUCGAGCAGAUCCUGGCACGCUUGGCUUCUGUUUCACCAUAAAACAGGUUUUGAAACUUGACGAGCCUUUGUAUGCCUUAGAAAAUAUUCGGAUGCUCGGGGAUUCUGCUGCCUUCUCUUGGCCGAGCAGAUCCUGGCAUGCUCGGCUUCUGUCUCGCCAUAAAUAGGAUUUGAGACUUUGUCGAGCCUUUGUAUGCCUUGGAUUUUUCAAGGCUUGGGAUUCUGCUGCCUUCUCGUGGCCGAGCAGAUCCUGGCAUGCUUGGCUUCUGUCUCGCCAUAAGACAGGCUUUGAGACUUUGUCGAGCCUUUGCAUGCCUUAGAUUCUUCAAGGCUUGGGAUUCUGCUGCCUUCUCGUGGCCGAGCAGAUCCUGGCAUGCUGGGCUCCUGUCUCGCCAUAAGACAGGCUUUGAGACUUUGUCGAGCCUUUGCAUGCCUUAGAUUCUUCAAGGCUUGGGAUUCUGCUGCCUUCUCGUGGCCGAGCAGAUCCUGGCAUGCUGGGCUCCUGUCUCGCCAUAAGACAGGCUUUGAGACUUUGUCGAGCCUUUGCAUGCCUUAGAUUUUUCGGUUUCACGCGAAUGAAAUUCCUCGACGUUCCAUUAAUGACAGUGUUCGACUUACAUAAAAUUGCUUGGACAUAAAGCGUGCAAGAUAAACGAUAAUGAAUGUGAGCAAAAGUAACUUUCAAAUGUGAACAAGUAUUACUGGAAGUAUUUUUGGAGGUGUGCUGCGUUCCAUGGGCGUUUCACCUCGUGGCCGUCCGUGCGAACCAGCUGGUAAGCUCCGGGUCCCGCUAUCUGCUUGACUCUAUAUGGCCCUUCCCAAUUCGGUCCCAGCACUCCUUGAGUCGAAUCUUUGGUGCUCUGAUUCACUCUUCUCAGUACCCAGUCCCCGACCCUGAAUUGCCGUAUGUUCACCUUCUGGUUAUAAUGCCGAGCAACCCUCUGUUGGUAAAUGACUGAUCGCUCGGCUGCUUGCUCCCUCCUUUCCGUUAGCAGAUCAAGAUUCAAACAUAUCUGCUCGUCGUUCUCCUGCUCAUUGAAAUGAUCUGUCCGGUGUGUGGUCGUUCCUAUCUCAGCCGGCACGACCGCUUCAUGUCCGAAAGCCAAAGCGAACGGUGUCUCCCCAGUUGCGGUUUUGUGGGUUGUUCUGUACGCCCAUAGCACACCUGACAGCUCGUCAACCCAAGCACCUUUUUUUGCUCCAAGCCUGGUUUUCAAAAGCCUCUUGAUGGUCUUGUUGGCUGCUUCUACUUGUCCAUUCGAUUGAGGGUGAGCAGGCGAGCAAUACUUCAGCUGUAUCCCGAGGUUCUGGCAGAAAUCCCUGAAGCUGUGAUUAUCGAACUGCCUGCCAUUAUCCGUUACCAAGGCAUAAGGGAUCCCGUAUCGACAGACCAGGUUUCUCCACACGAAGUCUGUUGUUUUCUUCUCUGUGAUCCUGCUAAGGGCUUCUACCUCUAUCCACUUCGUGAAGUAAUCUAUAGCAACUAUUGCAUGUGUUGCUGCUCCUCGUCCCUUUGGCAAUGGGCCGAUCAGAUCAAUUCCCCAUUGAGCGAAUGGCCAAGGGGAGGCCAUAGAGGUGAGCUUCUCUGGUGGUUGGUUAGAGAAAUUUGCAAAACUCUGGCAGCUUACACAACUCCUGGUCUUCUCUUGCGCAUCCCGGUGCAUUGUCGGCCAGAAAUAUCCCUGCCUUAGAACCUUGUGGGCCAGGGACCUCCCGCCAGAAUGAUUUCCGCAAAUUCCUUCAUGUACUUCUCUCAGUACGUAAUCCGCGUCGUCCUCAUCCAAACACCGAAGGAACGGUAGUGUGUAUCCUCGCCGAUACAGUACCCCAUCAAUCAUCGUGUAUCUCGAGGCCUGGGCUCUGAUCUUCCGAGCUCGCAGCUUAUCUGAUGGUAAUACCCCGUCUCUAAGGAAUGAAACUAUCGGGUCCCUCCACGAGCAUUUUUGUUCUAUCCGCAACACCCCCCAAUUCUGCUCGAUACUUGGACUGGACUUCACCUCGAGAGGGACCGACUUUGGCAUUUUUGGGUCGGCUACUGCUGCCAUCCUAGCCAAAAUGUCUGCUCGACUAUUCUGCUCCCUAGGGAUUUGUAUCACCUCCACUGCUUCGAAUUUCCCCAUCAUCUGCUUGACUAUCUUCAGGUACUGCUCCAUCUUCUCCUCUCUUGGUUGGAAUCUUUCAUUGACAUGAUUCGCAACCAGCUGGGAAUCAGUUCUGAUCUUAACUCUGUCUGCUUUCACGGCCUUAGCCAAUUCCAGACCUGCUAUCAAGGCUUCAUACUCUGCCUGGUUAUUUGUGGCUGUAAAUUCCAACUUUACAGCAUAAGAGAUCUCCUCCCCCUCUGGGCCUCCCAAGACAAUCCCUGCUCCUGAACCUCGCUCCCCUGACGACCCAUCCACAGACAUCUGCCAUACUUGAGUUUCAUCACUGCCUAUAACUGCAUCUUGUUGAUCUAAGCAUACUUCGGGUUCUGUGAAUUCAGCUACGAAAUCGGCCAUUGCCUGGGCCUUUAUCGCUGCGCGGGGUUUAUAGUCUAUGUCGAACUCGCUCAGCUCUACAGCCCACUUGACGAGCCGACCAGAAGCAUCUGGCUUGUGCAGAGUUUGACGCAAUGGCUGGUUUGUUAUUACCGUGACCGGGAAUGCUUGAAAAUAUGGCCUCAACUUCCGAGCGGCAACCACAAGGGCGAGUGCCCAUUUCUCCAGCGGUGGGUAUCUGGUCUCAGCGUCGAGGAGGGCCUUGCUGGUGUAGUAUAUCAGAUACUGCACUCCUUCUUCCUCUCUCACCAAAAUAGAACUGGCGGCCCGAUCCGAUACCGCCAAAUACAGAUAUAACUUGUCCCCAUCCCUCGGUGUGGACAGCAGCGGAGCUUGCUGCAAGUAUUGUUUCAAGUUCUGGAAGGCUUCCUCGCAUUCUGGGGUCCAUUCUGUUUUCUUUCCCCUCCUUAUCACUUGAAAGAAUGGCUGACACUUAUCUGUAGCCUUGGAUAUGAAUCUGCUCAACGCCGCCAACCUCCCCGUGAGGCUCUGCAUCUCCUUCAGGUUACGAGGAGACGUCAUCUGCACAAUCGCCUGGAUUUUCUCGGGAUUUGCUUCAAUCCCCCUAUGGCUCACCAUGAAUCCAAGGAAUUUCCCUGACUCGACCCCAAAAGCACACUUCUCCGGGUUGAGCUUCAUCUUAUACUUCCUCAAAAGCUCGAAUGUCUCCUCGAGGUGUCUGACAUGUUCCUUCGGGAUUUUGGACUUGGUGAUCAUGUCAUCCACGUACACCUCCAUGGUUCUCCCAAUCAAUGGCUUAAAGACUUUGUCCACCAGCCUUUGAUAGGUGGCCCCGGCAUUUUUGAGACCGAAUGGCAUUACCCUGUAACAGAACAGACCUUGGUUAGUGAUGAAAGCCGUGCUCUCCUCAUCCUGCUCGUGCAUGGGGAUCUGGUUGUAUCCCGAGAACGCGUCCAUGAAGCUAAGCAGGCCAUGCCCAGCCGUUGAAUCUACUAGCUGAUCGAUCUUUGGCAAAGGGAAGCUGUCUUUCGGGCAUGCCUUAUUGAGGUCUGUGAAAUCCACACACAUCCUCCACUUGCCGUUUGCCUUCUUUACCAACACCACAUUCGAUAUCCACUCAGGGUAACUGACUUCCCGAAUGAACCCUGCUCUCAGGAGCUUCUCCACCUCGCCAUUUAUAGCCUCAUACCUCUCCUGGUUGAAGCACCUCCUCUUCUGCCUUACUGCCCGAGCACCUUUCUUUAUUGCCAGCUUAUGACAUGCUACCUCAGGGUCAAUCCCUGGCAUGUCUUCAUGUGUCCAAGCAAACACAUCAGCAUGAGCCUGUAAGCAUUUCACCAACUCCUGCUUUUGCUCCCCCUUAAGUUUCGACCCGAUUCUGAUCGUCUUUCCCGGGUUCUCUGGUCCCAGGCUCACUGUUUCCAGAUCCUCUACAGGUUCUUGCCUGCCAUUCUUGUUUUCCACUCGGGUAUCGAGGGAUGUUAUCUGCAUUGCUUCCCUUGCUGCCGAGGAGUAGCAGCUUCUUGCGAUCCUCUGGUCUCCUCGUACCACUCCUACUACCCCAUUCACCCGGUACUUCAGAGCCAGAUAAUGGUUGGACAACACCGCUUUGCUCAUCCUUAAAAAUGGCCGACCUAGGAUCAUCUGGUAAGGACCUUCCUCAUCCACCACGACAAAGUCCAGUAUCAUUGUCCUUUCUGUCGGGGAACUCCCAAUUGUGAUAGGCAGUUCGACCACGCCCAGAGGGACCAGCUUCCCUCCUCCGAACCCCUUCAAGGAGGUAUUGGUGUAUUCCAACUUCCGGUCGGCUAUUCCCAUCUCUUCCAGGGUUGACUUAAAUAACACAUCAACUGAGCUCCCUGUGUCAAUCAGUAUCCGGUCAAACUUCUUGCUAGCGACGGUAGCCUUGAUGACUAAAGCAUCCUCGUGGGGGUAUAGAAUCCCUUCCUCAUCCUCAUCCGUCCAUAUGAUUGGCACUUGCCUGACCCUUGCUCGUUUGGCUGCUGGGGUGUUGAAGAGUACCUCUUUACUGGUCAUGGCGUACCUAGCAUAAUUUUUCCUCGAUCUGUUGGAAUCUCCGGCCAAUGUUGGGCCCCCAGCUAUCACCCUUACUGCGGGCUGCUCGCGCCUCAAGUUUCUAUCGCUCUGCUCCCCUUCACCUGUUGUGGCCACCAUCGGGAAAGUCCCAUCCACAAACUCGUCCAGGUACCGAUUUCUCACCAGAUCUUCGACCUGGGUCUUGAGAUCUCUACACUCUGCUGUGGUAUGGCCAUGGGUGUCGUGGAACUUACAAUAACGUCAUCUAUCCCUCCUGUUGGGUAGCUUUGUUAUUGGUGUAGGGAGGUGCAGCAGCCCUCGAUCCUUUAUGGCCUCGUACACCUCAUCCAGGGACAUCUUCAAGGAAGUGUACCGCCCAUAGUCCUGGUUCUGGUCGAUCAGGUGCACUGGUCUUUCUCUAUUUGCCCCGCUCUGAGUUGUGGGCGGUGGAAGUACUUCUGGUCUGCUCGCUCUGCUACCGUGGGAAUAUUGAUGAAGACCACUAGAUGCUGAAUCAUGCCUUCUCCAAGGCUCCCUAGCUGGGGAACGAGGAGGUUGCGCCCCGCUGCGCUGAUACUGUGGUGGCCGCUGAUGAGGCUGGUAAGCAGUUACCCGACCUCCUGCUCCACUACCGGAGGCCUGGUGGUCCCUCCUCCUGAUCGGCCCAUUCCCCGGUAAUGCUUUCUUCUCUUUCCUCCCCAACCCUUCUAACUGAUCUGUUUUAAUCCGUGCGGCCUUCUCCUCUUCAAUCUCGAUGUCUCUCUUAGCCUGCUCGUAUGCGGCUGCGUACGUUUGAAUAGCUGGGCUUCUCAAAUUGUACCACAGCCUUCCUAUCUUCACCCCUUCUUUCAACCCCCUUAACGCCUGAGGGUGGUUGAAGGCUCCCAAGUCGAGGACAGCCCGAUGAAACCUCUUGAUGAAUUCCCGAAGGGUUUCUUGCUCCCCCUGUUUCAUGCUUUUCAGCUCCAUCAUGUCAUCCUCUGGUGCCAUUGCCCCACUAAACUGCUCGGCGAAUUCCUGGCACAUCUGCUCGAAGGUUUUAAUGCUGCCCCGAGGAAGUUUCAUGUACCAUUCUCGUGCACGUCCCUCAAGGGAUAGUGGGAACACCCUGCACCUUUGGGACUGAGAUAAUCCUUGUACCCCAGUUAUGUCGUUGAAGCGCUCUAUGUGCACCAGCGGAUCAGUUCUUCCCGAGUAUCUGAGGUCUGGGAGGCGGAAAUCUCUCGGAAUAACCGCCCUCAUGAUCUCUGCUGCGAGCGGUGAUUCUCCGUCCAGCAUUAUCCUCCAACCAGGGGCUCUGUUCCUUCCUUGCAUGUCGUCAAUUAUCUGCGCUAGUCUGCGCACUUCCUCCUCCAGCUGCCCUGCACGACCAGGGUCACGUGCCUCAACUUGAUCGCGCUCUUGCUCUACAUCAUGCAAGUGUUGCCUCAACUUUGUUUCCUCCGCAUUCACCACCCCGUCGGCCUCGUCAGAAAUCUGUCUUGCCGGGGACUGCUCUCUUUCUCUAUGGGAUUCUCCCCGCAGAGGUACGUUACCUCUCUCCCCACCAUAUCCCCCGGUGGUUUGACUUCUCCUCGCACCAUCGGGACCUGGUGCCACCCCUCCGCCUCUCAACCUUCCCUCUUGGGCCACCCUUCGCUCGCUCCGCAGCUCAUGCAGGAUGGUUGUCAAGGUCUCCAUCUGCUUUUCCAUCCGUUCCAUCCGGUCGAACAUGACUUUUUCCCGUGCUUCACUGACUAUCUCCCUCAGCGUCACGGGAUCGUUAAGCCUCACAUCACCCCCUUGUGCACUAUUUCCUCCUAUCUCCAUUACUUUUCACUUGCUUCACUCCUUUUCUUGCUAUCUACAGAAGCUUUUUUGUAAGGUCCCCACAGACGGUGCCAAAAUGUUGAUGCGAGAUUCUGGUUCUCCUCAUUCUACGACCAGGAUCUCUACUCGAUCAACUUCACCACGACCAGGAAGUCUCCUCGUAAGGCUCCUUCUCCAGAGGUUCCUGCGCACACAGACAAGUCAGAGUACGCCGGUUGUUUUCCCGGCGCAAACCCUCCGACGCUCAAGUCAGAUAUCCAGGUUUGGGGAACACUUGCCACAAAUCUUAUGGCCUUUAGGUCCGUUCUCUCCCUCUAGAAUUUCUUUAGUCUCUCUUUUAUCUCAAAAAAUUGCCAACCCCUUUACCUUCGUUCGCUACCUUUUUGUAGGCUGCCUCUGAAUCCCAGUUUUCCGCUUUUUGCCAGACGGUAUGGGACUCUGACUGCUGCGUUAUGGGCAAAGGUGGGAUCUUGCGUGUUACGCCACGGUUCUGGGGAAAGCGUGGCUGUCGUGAUUCUGUGAGAUCUUGCGUGUUACGUCAUGGGUCUGGGGAAAGCGUGGCUGUCGCGCCUAGAUUCUCGAGCUGGAGAGCAUGUCUUGUCAACUGUCGUCGGCCGGGUCUCCUCGCCACUCGGCCUCUAGCCGAAAUGACCUUAUACCUCUCACAGGAAGUUGGCCUCGCGGAUGACGUGCUCGUGGACGAACAAGAUAUUUCUGCUCCUGUUCCCCCGCGCACCAGGCUUUUACGGAACACACCGGUCCGCAGAACUCUGCCAUCAGAUACCUGCUCACCAUGCCUGGUCUCGUCGACGUAUUUCUCCCAAACACAACUCAUAUUACAUGAGAAUAUAACUGAUAUAUACAAAUCAGACUAUAACUGGGACCAACAUACAUCAAAGCUAAUGGAGCGCUGCCCAGAUUUUAACCCUCUCAAAUAUUCGAGGGAUGUCUACUCCUCGCACUGGGGCAAGGAAGCAGACUGCCUUCACUCAAUUUUAUUUGAAGAAGAAAACACCCCACAUGCAUUGUGGGGGUUCGAACUGCUGCAGCAGCUCUCACCACUCGGCCAAAGACCGAGUGGCUAUAUUACUUCCCUGUUAAGAGCUGGAUCCCACACCCUUGAGCUUUUGUCGUCCCGGUCAACUAUAAAAGCAAAUCAUUAUUGAGUGGGAACAGACUUAUUGAUCACCCAAUUUUCAAACUUGUCAUCGUUAUUGAAUCUGCAUUCCCUUUUAAAAAAUUUUAAAAAAAGUACAAAUAAUGAAACAAAGUUCUAUUCCUUCAACAGUUGAUAGAGUUACGCGGCUUCAACUUGCAAGUGCUGUCGGCAUUUUCAAACUUGUAAUACCCUUACAACUUGCUUUCCAAGAUAGCUAUAAUUAAUAAUGACAACAGUCUCCCUUAUAGCGACUAGUGAGCAACUUGUUUCGUGAAAUUAACAGCAUCUUCUCUCACAUUUUUUAAAAAAUUGAAUUAUAUAACCCACCAAAACUAUAAAGAAUUGUUAGUUUUUCUUCAUUAAAAUUAAUAUAUUGCUCCUCAUUUUGAAAAAUCAAAAUUCAGAAUAAGAAUGAUUGAUACUGUUUAUUUACUAAAAUGAAAAUAAAAUAUAUGAAGCCUACAUAUUUUUGAAAUUAAAAAACAAGAACUUUAUUUUUCAUGGGAAGUGUUGGAAAUCAAGUUCUCAUUAUUUAAACUCUCAAUUGUACCUCACCGAAAUUUCAUAAUUUCACUUUUGUUCUCAAUUAAAAUAUUGUUAUAGUUAUUAUUCUUAUUUUUAUAGUUGUUGUUGAUGAUGAUGAUGAUGAUACAAGAUAAUUAAAUUAAUGAUAAUUAAACCAAUUUGAAUUCAGAGUGAGUGAGUACCAUGACUUCGCAUCAUUUGAUAUCAAAAGAGCAUCAUUACUAACUAAUAUAGGCUCGAUCGAAUUCAUCAUGCGAAGCAUAAUAUCGGCUGUAGGUAUGGAAAUAAAUUUUGUAUCCACAAACACUAUUUUUCAAAAUAUUUUAAGACUUGACUUAGCAUUUUUUAACCAUAUAUGUAUAGGUUGUUUGACCUAUUUUAAAUAGUGGAGAUUACAACAAAUGAACAGAUGUGGAUUAGUAGAGUUGUUGAGUUCAGAAGAUUGAAGUUAACAAAGGGUUUCUUGAUCUAGAGAAAAUUUGAAAGAGCGAAGUGUCUUCGAGAUCAAAAGACGAAAUAAGGAAAGGGUAAGGUUAUACUUUCAAAAUGAAUCUGUUGAGAGAACUUUGAAGAUUACUUCCGUUAAGAGCUGGAUCCCACACUUGAGUCUUCGUCGUCUCAGUCAGUCAGCUGUAAAGUCAGUCAGCUAUAAAGACAAAUUAAUUUUGAGUGUGAAAGGACACAAUUGAUCACCAAAUUUUCAAACUCGUGAUCCUUAUUCAAUCUACAUUCCCAUUUGAAAAACAAUAAAAGAUUAACAUUAAUUUAACUUCAUCUAGAUUCCCAUUUGAAUCUGCAUUCCCAUUCCCUUGUUCUCUGGGAAUGCACAUAAUCAAACAAAAUCCUAUCGGCAUUUUCAAACUCGUGACCCUUCAAGCUUUCUAUGACAACUAUAAUGAAUAAUUACAACAAUGCUACCUAAUAGUGAGCAACUUGUUUGAUGAAAUUAACAGCUUCUUUUCUCUCAUGUAUUUUUAAAAAAUUAAAUUAUCAAAGUUUUUAUUUCAAAAUUAGUGCUAUAGUUCAUUAAUUUUUCAAUUUUUCCUUUUUCUUUCCACACAACAGAUUGAUUUGCCCUCCAAAAAAUAUAUUAUAUUGUUUAAUAUUGUAACUUCAAGAAACUUACAAUAAAUUUUUAAAGAGAUAAAUAGAGAAUGUCAGUCUCCCAUCUACUCAAAAUUAAUAUAUAUCAUUAACUCUUGAUUAUUUUUAUAACAACUAAUAACUUUCUUGGCAGCAUAAUUUUACAGUAUCAUCCUUGUUUGACGUUUGUAAGUAUAUUUUUAUUCAUAUUUAUUAUAAAUUAAUUAAAUCAUAUCAAUGAAAAUUGAAAUAAAAAUUGAAGUACUAAAAAUUUAAAAAAUAUAUUUUGGUGUGAAUAAAAAAUUGAAAAUAAAAAUAUUUUUCUUAUAUUUUUUGUUAUUUUAAAAAUUUUUCUUAUAAUAAAUGUAUAUUUUAUAUGCUCAACUUUUUCUUUUAAUUUUUGUUAUUAGGAGGAUUUUUAGAUAUAAUGAAAAUUGUAAGGUAGUAAGUAAUAUAUAAUAAUUUUAAUAGAGAAAAGUAAAAAAUCUCUUAUUUUAAAAUAUAAGGAGAAAAAUAAUUAAUUUCAAGACAUUUUAGAAGAUAUUUCAAUAUGCGGUGGACCACAAACUCGAGUCUUUGUCAUCUCAGUCAACUAAAAGGACAAAAUAUUGAGGGCAUGGCUAAGGUGCAGAAGCUGCAAGUAACAGCUUCGAACUUUCCCAUUUCCAUCACCUUGCAUUGGGACCUCUUUCUCUCUCCUCUAGCACCCGUGGAAGUUCCCCAUUGGCUACUGUAACUUACAGAAGCUGUAACAUAGAUUUCUCCGAAUAUUGAGCGCGAAGGGCUCAAGUGAUUGUUAAUUUCACAGCAAUUGCCUUUUUUUUUUUCUAAUUAUUGGGAAAUAAUAAUUUAGUAUAACAAAUAUUAUAUCCUAUACUUUAUUGCUACAAAAUUACGAAACCUUAUAUUAUAUUAUGUUUCCAUAUUUCUCCUUUAUAGUGAAGACUCAUACUUCUUCUCUAGUAAAUGUUAAAGCAUUGGCUUAAACUUUUUAACUAGCACAGUAGACCCUUAAGCUAUAUAUACUAUAAUGUCCCUCUUCCCUCACAGAUUAAACCAAUCUAUCUCAGAGUAAGUUUGCAUCAAAGGAGUAUCCUUACUAACUAAUAUAGACUCGAUCAACAGGGAUGACAAUAAUUUUUUUAUCUACGAACAUUAUUUUUUCAAAAUAUUAUAUCUUUAGACUUAACUAAAUAUUUUUUAACCAUAUAUGUAUAGUUCGAUUAAAUAGUGGAGAUUACAAUAAAACAUAUGCGAAUUAGUAGUGAUGUUGAGUUCUAGGUCAAGACGAAAAUAAGGAAAGGAUAAGGGUGUAUUUUCAAAGUGAUUCUAUUGAAAGAUCUUUGAAGAUUACUUUCGUUAAGAGCUGGAUUCCACACUCUUGAGCCUUUGUCGUCCCAGUCAACUAUAAAGACACAUUAUUAUUGAGUGUGAACAUUCCGACUUAUAGAUCACCAAAUUUUUAAACUUGUGAUCUUCGUUGAAUCUGCAAUCCCUUUUGAAAAAAAAAAAAAAAAAGGAAAACUGCAAAUAAUGAAACAAAAUUCUGUUCCUUGAUAGAGUUACGCGGCUUCAACUUGCAAGUGCUGUCGGCAUUUUCAAACUUGUAAGACCCUUCAACUUGCUUUCCAAGAUAGCUAUAAUUAAUAGGAUCCCUCUAAGUUACGUUUAACGUAACAUACAGCCGAUGACAUGAUUAGUUGACCAAUAAUUAUAUGCCAGGUAAACAUAAUAAUAAUAAAAUAGAACUGAUUUAAGCGGUUGGAAGUCGGUCAUCAAAAGAAGUCAACGCAGGCAACACCCUUCUACAGGCGGUUGUCUCUGCCGUCAACUUUUCUGGUUUCUCCGACGACUCAAUCCUUCCCAUUAAGUUAGAAUCCCAAUUUUGCAGGCUCAAAUCUUUCCCGGCUACUGCCAAACCCAAAACCCACAUCAAUGAUAAUCAUCAUCAUCACACCGAAAAACACACACAAUCUCUUCAUCAUCAUCAUUCAAAUCCAACUUCAAAGUUAGAGUUUUUUUUAUUCCAAAUAAAACCCAUAUGGGAAACUCGGCUUGGAGACUGCAAAAUCCGUUUCUAGUUGUGAUUCCUCUCCUCCUUUGCCAUUUUCUUUGAGUCCAAAUAGAACCCAGAUUAAAAAAUUGAUUUUAAAGAAAUUCCAGGUGUGGGUCUGUUUUUGCUUUUGUUCCUAUUGUCGCUGUUUCCUCGAAAUCGAAGUUGAAGUCGAAAUCCAACUCAUUUUCUUCGUCGUUGAGUUCUCCGAGUUCAUGGAUGGAUUCACCUUCUUCUCCGCCGUCUCCACCUCAGAGAAAGGGCUGUUUUUUAUGUUCUCCAAAGAGUGCUUUGAAGAAAAAGAGCAAGAAAAGUCUAAUUCUUGGUGAUGAUCUUGAUUUGCUUGUAAAGAACGAUGAGUUCUUAUCGGAUUUGAAAUUUUUUUUGUGUUAAAGAGCAGGAAAAGAUGCUGCAGAAGGCAAUAAGGGAGCAAGAAAAGGUUAGUGGAGACUGGAGAGGAAGAGAAGAUUGUCAAAUGGGCACACCAAUUCAGCCGGUUUCCCAUCCUUUAGAGCUUUUGGACAAAUUAAACACUAGCCAUUGGAUUAGAUUUUAACACUUUCAACGGACAAGAUUUUUUAAAUUGUACGUUACGUUAAACGUAACUUAGGGAUUGCCUAAUUAAUAAUGACAACCGAAGACGGCUACGUUUGCGGUACAAAAGUUGCACCAUAUUAGACGUUCUUUUUUGUUCUUAUCCGAAGUAACCGUUGGAUUCAAAGGAAAGUGAUCAGACAUUCAAUAGCUUCACACGUGGACAUUAUAGGAUACCGGUCAAAUCGGUUAGUGCUCCUCCACAUCAAACUCACAAGCAUGGCAAUCAUCGUAUCAGCUUGGAAACUUGUUACAAGUGACGAAGAGCAACAGGGUCCGCUCCUCUAGAGUCGGUUAGUGCUCAAUAAUGUUACAGUUUUUAUAAUAUAUGUAACUGGUACGAUCGCUGUCUCAAGUGGUAAACUUUUGAGGCACAAAUUUAGAACGAAAAGUUCCCAAUAAAAUAAGUUAUUUAAUUAAUUAAAUAAGAAUAAAAUGAAUUUGUGAAAAAAAAUUUAAAUUUAAUUUUGAAUUAUUUUGACCAAAAUUUAAGUUUUUUUUUUUAAAUUUGUUUAAGAAAAUGCGUUGUAAUUGUCUUGUUUUAAUUAGAAAAUCAAUGAAAAAAUUAUGUAAAAAAAAAAAAAAAAAAAAAGCAAAACGCUUUGUUUUGGAUGGAGGCCAUAGAUUCCAAUAUUUCCUUCACGAAAACUACAAAAAAAUUAUCAAAGGCAUCAAUUUCUACACUCUCACCGAGCAAUACUCUUAACCCAGAAGAAAGUGUAUAAACCAACCUCAAUCAGUCCAUCAAUGUCGUCAACCUCAUACAGCAUAAACAAAUCUGUGCCCAUUAAACUGCCAUUUAAACCGUCUUUAUUGAGCCAUUAGACUACUUGUGUCAUCUUGCCAUCUCGUUGUAGUAUUUUGCCGCUCAAAUCUAGUUAUCAAUUGGGGAAAAUGGGGACCAAUCUGCAAGUCUUUAAAAUAGAAAGAAACUUUAAUUGGGCACUAUGUUCACUGUAGUGGACCCAGGAGCAGCUAUUUGUGCUUCAAAAAAUAUUUUACUCACUCUAAUUUUAAUAAGAAUAUAUAUUACCAAAUUACUUAUCAUAUAAGUUACUGGACAAUAUAUUAUAAGUCAACAUUAUAUAAUUACUUUGAACACUUAUAUAACCCAAUCCUAAUUUAAUUUAUUAUUCUCAUAACUUAAAUAUAAAAAUUUUUAUUUCCAACUUCUUAAUUAAUAUGUAGAUGAAUAAUAAGGAAAUUAACUUUGAGAAAAAAUUAAAUACAAAAUAUGUGUAAUACUUUAAAAAAAAUAAACAAAAGUAUUGCACAAGAUUAUUUUUUUUGGUGGGGGGGGGGGGGGGGGGGGGCUUUGGCCAUUCUUCUUCUUCUCCUUCUCUCUCUCUCUCUCUCUCUUUUUGUAGUAUUUAUGGAACAUUUUCUAUUGUUAUGUUCUCAUUGCAAGUUAUUUUGGGUGUAAAAUUCAAUAUUGAAAAUAAAUUAAAUAAAAAAAUUAGUAACUAAAAUUAUGUUAAAUUAUUUUUUAACUUAAUUUUUAAUUAUAUUAUUAGUAUAUGUUAAAUCUCUUAAAAAUCGAGUGUUGAAUAAUUUUAUUAGUUUUUUAAAUAAAUAAAAUUAAAUAACUUCAAAAGUUUAAGUAAGGAUAUUUUUAAAUUUUUUAAACAGUGUACAAAGUAAAGUUUAUUUUCUUGUCAGUGGCAAAUGAUCACGACAAGAAAUAUGAAGUAGAAACAGCAGAGCUCAACAAAUCACUAAGAGAAAAUAAGACCAAUAACCAAGCAGAUAAAAGAAAAGCAAAAUAACCCAUCUCAAAAUCACCACAUGCACAAUUUAAGGGGUUUGUGACAUGGGUUUAAACAUGAUUUAACAAGUGCCACCUGUGAAUUGUCAGAGAUUGUAUUUUCAUACACAUGUCAAAUUUUCAAAUCCAACAAAUUGUUAUCUUUAUAAAGAGGCUAAUAUUAUUAUUAUUUUUUUUUUUUGAAGUCUGUUAUACACAGAUAUUACUGACAUUACAUCAGACAUUACAAUUGAUAUUUACAAUCAUACUAUAUAACUGGGACUACCACCAUACAUUGACACACUGAAGUAUAUGCCCAGAUAUUUUAAACCCUCUCUAAUAUUCGAGGGGUGCAUAUCUACUCACAUUUCGUAAGAGAGAGACUGUCUCCACUCAAUUAAUUGAUAAUUGAGGAAGAACUGAAACUAACCUCCAUAAUGCACUUAUGGAGGCUCGAACCCUUGCACUCAACAUUGUAAGUGCAAGGUUUCUCCCAUUGAACCAAAGGCCCAUUGGUUAAUAUUAUUAUUAUCUAUGCAUAGCAUGCUAUAAACAAUUCAUAUUACUAGGGCCUUUGUUUUCUGUACACAACAUAUGGACAGCGGAACAAAUCCCUGAGCUAAAAUCAUCAUAUUCCAAAAUAUUCUAUUAAAUCAACACCACAAAACGCGAACGCUAAACAGAAUUGGAGCAAUUUACCAAAGCUAUUUGUCACGCAAAGCACUAGUACCUCAGAACCCAAUUUGCAAAAAAGCACCAAAAAUGAAAAAUAACAAAUGCCCAGAUGAAAAAUCAGGAAAAAAAAAAUGCUCAAAUCCAAAUUACAACCCCAUAAGCUGAGUCGUUCUCUUCGAACUGAAUUAAAAAAAAAUUAAAAAAAUUAAAAUGGGGAGAUUGACCUCAAACUUUGGAAACAGAAGCGACAGCGAUCUGUUUCUUGUCUGGAGUGUCCAUUUCUAUAAUCUACUUUCUCCGUUUUCAGUCGCUCUGCCGCAGAGCUUCUUCCCUCUGAAGCCGAAGCUCACACACACUUGCAAAACGAAAGCAUUUUUUAUUGAUUGAGAGGCGGGAAGGCGGGAAAAUGAGAGAAAUUUGCAUUUGUUUUCUCUUGGUUUGGUCAUACCUGUGCGGGCCCCAGCUUGACAAGCGGUAUUAUUACUAUUUGUAUAAUUUACAUGACGCGUGUCACGCAAUGACGAUAAAAAAAAAAUAUAUAUUGUUAAUUUUUCACUUAACAUUGAAAUAUCAUAUAAUUUUUCCAAUUUUAUGGUUAUUUUCUCGCCCUUAUGCCACAUUCUUUUGAUCAAACAAUACAGUAAAACUUUUCUAUAAUCAUAAUAUUAGAGCCAAAUUAGCUUUAUUUAUGUAAAGAGGCUAUAGCUUAAUGAAGUUAAAAUUAUAAAAAAAUAUUAUUUUGACUCAAUUAUCUUUAGUGCAAGUGAUAUAAAGUAUAAAUAUAUGGUAAUUAAUUAAUGAACUAUGUCAAAUACAAUAUACUGACAAUGAUAAAAAAGAUAGACAUAAUUUCAAGAAACUAAUACAUAUAUUUAUGCAGUGUUGGGAUUAUACAAAAUUAUCUUAAAAAUGUAAAGAGUAAAGUAUUAUUCUGAUUAUUUAAAAAAUUUAUUUUAUCUUAAUCUUUAAUGCAACAUAGCUUUUAUUUUUUUCUUAGCAACAAAGCAUUGUUCCAAAUAAUUAUUAUUGGAUUCAAAUCAUGUCCUAGGCAUUUUUUCUUCUAGUCGUCUUAAACUUUUAAUGAUUUAUUGGCAUGUGUCAAUCAUUAAUGAAAUUAAAUAACUAAGACUUUGUUUUAAUUAACGUUUACAUAAAUAGACAUCAAAACUCACGUGUGAUUCUUAUCAAUUUUUUUCCUGCAAAUUCUUUUCCUCUCAACUAUUCAUAUUUUGACAUUAAUUUCCAACAAAUUAUUUUUAAAAAAAAGGAGCGUAAAAUGGAGAAAAGUGAUUCACAACAAGGUUUGCAUCUUAAUUUCAAAAUUUUCCUUUCUUUGCUAUUUUUGUGGGUUCUACAAUUGUUGUUUUCACUCUCAGCUGCAGUUCAAUGAACUCUAUUAAUAACCAUGAAGCUUAAUGUAUCAAUUCCAAUGCGACAAGUCCUUCUACGCAUGUUACAACACUUUUUGGUCAUUAUAGGUUGCAAAUGCUCCGUAAUGUACUCAUUCAUAUAACGGAAACGCUAUUAUCAAUAAUGAAAGUUGACUAAGUUUGUAAAUUCUAUUUAACGAAAAAGUAACAUAAAUUUAGUUGAACAAGAGGUAAUUAAUAUGUAAUCUAUGAAACUAGGGUGUGACUAAGUUACAUAGUAAUGUAACUUACAUGAACACAAAAAUAAUUAGUUUUUAAACUACAAGUAGCUUUGGAACAGCUCUUAAAUUGAUAUAAGUUCUAUUAUUAUGUAACUUAGCAAGGUCAGAUAUUUUAAUAAUAGCACAUCACUAUUGUUUCAUGUGAAUGAUGCAAUUGGAUUAGCCCAAGACCAUUCAUACCGUCAUCCCCGGGAGAUGCUAUGGCAAUAGCUUACUCUACCGUGCCAAUGUCAUUAGUAUUAAUCUGAUGAACCUAAGACCAGAUCUAAGCUGAUCUAGAUUCCCCAAGAUCGCACACCACACAGUGAUUAAUGAAUCAAGAACAAUAAACCAUCAAAGAAUCGCAAACUUUCGGGUUACAUGUAAUAAAUGUUUUAAUUAUUAGAUGAUUCAUAAUGUUAGACCAUUUUUUGUAUGUUUUGUAAUCUACGUUUGAUAAUUUAAUUAGCUGAUAAACACUUGAAUAAUAUUAUUUCAUUAACUAUGUCAUUGAUCCCCAGGAAAAAAAAAAAAAAAAAAACCCCCAAUUUAGGAUGUUAUACAUUACUUUUCCAUUACUUCCCAUUUUAGAUUAAUAUCUAUCACAUAUAUUCUUAGUAACUUGUCACCCUUCUAUUUCUGAGAUUGUCCUUACAAUAAGGAUGCCGGCCCCAAUGUUAAAAACUGCUAUCUCUAGGUGUAAAUUCCUUAUAAAAUUCUUUUUUAAUUGAAAUUACUUAAAUAAUUGAAGAUAAAUUAAUUUUUUAUUUCAUUCAAAUAAAAAAAAUCAAUUAAACACUUAAAUAAGCUAUCCUUUUAAUUUUUUUUUACACCCCUCCAGUUUCAUAAUUUAUAUUUAUAAUUUAAAUUUUAAAGGAAAAUAUUUUUUUGAAAAAUUUUAAGAAUUAAGAAUUAUGGGGAUAAAAAUUAUGUAAUAAGAACAAAAUAAUUUAAAAUUUUAAAAUUUGCAUGUAUUAUAAACAAAAACUUGAAAGAAAUACUCUUUUCAGGGUGAGAUUUAAUCAGAAAAAGAUUAAUUUUCAUUUAUGGAUCAGUAUUUUAUAAAUUAAACAGAGGUAUUUUAAGAAAUAGAAUUCAAAAGGCAUGGGAACAAGGGCAUUGGGUUUCCUUUUGUUUUGUAUGGAUUGGGAAAAAUACACGGACAGACAAAGGGAACAGUCAUUAUAAUGCUGCGGAGCUUGUCGGAGAUUCCCUGCCCAUUUGUAGCUUAGACUCCUGGGGUUUUGUUCAUGUCUUUUCUGUAUCCCACUUUCUCAUGCAGCAGAUGUACAUAUGAUGAGAUGAAAACAACAGCAAAAAUUGCUGUCUCAUAAGAGAAAUAGUCAUACAUAGUUGGUUAGGCCUCCUGUCCAUUAACAUAAUAAUGAAUUUUAUGAAAAUUGAUUAUCUCAUUGGAAUUACAUAGAUAUUGGAAAACAUUACUCCAGCCCCACCAUCCCAACCAUUUACUUAGUUCAUCAGUAAAAGCUGGAUUUUCCAUUUGUUCUUGAGAUUCAAAUUAAGGCAACAAGUUGCUCAUUCUAUAUUAUCUAUGUAAUCCUGUAAAAGUGAAGGGCGUUUAGAUGUGGAAAAACCUUACUCCUGCCGCAACACCUCAAACAGAUUGUGAUCAGACAAGACUUAGUUCAUCAUUAGUAGUAGUUGGAGCUUCCAUUUGUUCUAGAGAUUUAAAGGCAGCAAGCUGCUUCCUCAGUGCUACUAAUUCUUCCCCGGCAUUGCAUAUGUAGCCUGAGGCUUGUCUACCAGACAAAGUUGCUCCUUCCAUACUAUCUAUGUAAUCCAGUGAGAGUGAAACCAUUUAGAAGACGUAUCUCUUUCUUUCCAAUAUUUAGAAUGAAACAAUUAUAUACAGUUACCUGUUUUGUAUAUGAGCCGACGAGGAAGAAGUUCUUCACUGGUGUCUUUUGAUCGUGUCUGAAGGAGUCUUUACCAGGUCCCUCACCGCACAAAGAUUGCCCGAUUUUGACAAAAGAUGACCAAAUAACUUCUAAACCUUGGGAUGAUGGAAAUAGAGCUAAAACCUAAUAAAAGGAACCGUGAAUGGAUAGUAUGGACUCAUGUAUAUUAUCCAGAAAGUUGCAUGACCUUUUGUGGUACUCAGGUCACUAAAAAAUGUGAGAUAAACAUCUAGGAUAAGAAAAGCAAAAAAGCAUAACCUAAUACGUAUUAUAUGAAUUGAAGGUGUCACUGAACACUACCAACCUGCUUUGCCACUCUCCUUAUGAUUUCAUCAUUUGGUAAGGGCAUAUAAGGAUCUCCAGGUGUCAAAAUGAAUCUGAAAUAUAAUAUGGCUAUAGUAAGCAACACAGAAUACAAAGACACUUAGCAAAAGGAAGCCAAUCAGAUUCCAUGCACAAAAAAUAACUAAUAAUGACGAGGAUAAGAAAUUUUUCUUACUGGAGCAAUGAACCUUGCCCUUCUCUGUAGUAGUCUUCUGGUGAAGUGAGUGCUAGAUCUGCAAAGCAAGAUAAAUCUGCAUCUGGAGUAUAUGAAAGGUUAUCUAACCCCACAGCUUGCCUCAAUUGUCUACAUGUUCAAAACAAGGAUCUGUUAAAAAAUGGAAAUUUCUUCAAUGCAUUAGUAAAGGGAAGUGAAGUGAAAGCUGAUUUCUUAGGCCUUCACAGAGCAUCAUGUGUUUGAAUUCCGGUAACCUCACAAAAGAUUAGAGCAUCACCUUGACCGUUCUAUGUCUUGCAACUCAGUAACCCAACCAUUGUAUCUAAGCUGCACUGUGACAACAGGAACUCCAACUAGCUCAUAAAUAUUGUUGAAAAAUUUCAUUUCCCUCCACGAUGAUGGAAGCAGUCUUUUAAUUCCAGGGACAUCACAUGCGGCCAUUAAAUAAGAAGUUGAAUAAAGAAAAAUCGUUCAACUAAAUGAUUCAGGAGUUAAAAAAAAAAAUGUAGAAGUAGAAAUAAAUAACGAGGAUUUAACCAUGAACCUGCAACAUAUGCAUCAGCUUGCACAACCUUCUUGUCAGUGGCCUGAAAUAGAAUGAGAAAUUGAAAGACAGUAAGCAUUAAAGAAUAAACUCAAAGAAGCUGCUUCUAACAGAUGAUAUAAACAAUAAAUUUACAAAUGUCAGAUCAUUGCAUUAGCUCUAUGCCUCCAUCAGAGGGAAUAUUAAUAGAUGCAUAAAAAAAUAAUUAGAGCCACAUGUGAAACAAUUUACCUUAGACGUAGCAGAUUUAUCAUAAAGUAUCUCUCUGCAUCCCCACCUAAGAUGGAACCUGUUCUCACAAGAACAGAUCCCAAGGUUGGGAAAAUCAGUUCAUCAUAGGAGAAAACAAAGAAGAUUAACAAAUCACUACAAUGGUGUGAACCCGUAAAUACAAACGUACCUGCCCCCUUUAUCUGUGAUAUAUUUUCUUAUGGGCCCACUCAAAUAAACAUCCGGAGAACCCUUGAGCAUCAGCAAUAGGGAAGCCUCAGUCUUAGUCGCAAACAGUGCAAAUAUAGUAAGCAUACAACGAGCACUGAUGUUAUCACAAUCAAUAAACCCAAGGGCAUACGAAACAGGAUCCCACAUUCUUUGGAACCCUUGGACAAAAACCAAUCAGAGAAGCUUAUCUGUAAGAAGAAAUGAAGUUUUAGGUAAAAUAACAAUCUGUAGGAACAGGGAUUGAAAUUCAACAAACAAGAAAAUAUGAUGUCAUUCUUACACUAUCCAAAUCUCAUAUGUCCUUCAAGGCUCCAUCAGGAUCAACAAGUGCCUUUACAACAGCACUCAGAGCAAGAGCAAGAGCAAGAGCAUUUCUUGCUUUAUCAUAAGUCUGCACUUGAGCAAUUUACGAGGCAAAGUACAUCAAAAGAGAAUCCAAAGGAGGCAAGAAGCUUCAACAUGAAAAAAGGAGUGCUGCCUCAUCAUACUGCUUUGCAAUCACAGUGCAAAAGAUAACAUCAACAAAAUCAAAAUCUAGCAUAAAUCCAUAUGCACUACCUUAAGCUGAUUUGUAGACAAAAGACCCGUUUGGGGCAGCUGCGUGGCAAACGGGUCUUUUGUCUACAAAUCAGCUUAAGGUAGUGCAUACGGGUCCAAAAAUGCGUGAAUCCCAUGUAACGGAGCUCCAAUCAGAAACCCGAAAUCAAGUUCUGGAGUUGAAAAUCAAAAUCAUGAACCAAAUCAGAGUUAUUAUUGAAUUAGACAAUCCAUAAACCAAUAGAAGGUAAAAAAAAAGGAAUAAAAAUUCUUCUAAAUUCUUUCACCAUCAACAAAAUCAGUAAAACACAUACUGAUUCAAAAUGACAUAAAGUUUGUGAAUUGAAAUAAUGCCAACUCCUAAGAAAAAUUAUGACUGCUGAUAUUUUUUCUGAAAUGCUGAUAAAAGCUUCUGCUAUUUACUUUGAAAAAAUAGAGGUUAGAAGCCAAUUUACUUGAAAUUUUGAGUUUAGGCAAGAGGAUGAAUGGCAAAAGUGAAACAUUUUAGGGAAAAAUGUACUUCAGAGGCCAAUGAAAGCAUUCAGAAGAUUGAAAUCUAAAUAAGCAAAACCCCGUGGCCUUGAUCCAACAAAUCCACUGCUGUUGACAUGCCUGCAAGCCCAGCUCCAAUAAUAGCCACUUUCAGCUUUGGUCCUCUAUAAUGUUCCGGUUCUGGUAGAAACAAACCCUUGGGAGCUGCCAAGUAUACCAUCCAAUUAUCCACAGCGAUAAUGGAAAUAUAUAUGUGUUUAAAGGUACUAAAUUCCUAAACAUGAAAUGUAUCCAAAGAGAGACACAAAGCAGAAUUGUGCAAGCAUUUCAAUUCCCAAUAAAUUUUAAGAAUACAAAAUACUCGGUCUGUUCCUCAAUUCCUUUAAUAAAAUUUCCACUAGAGGCUACGGAAGCCACUCAAUAACACUCCAAAGCCAGAUUUUAAAAGUUAUCUUUAACACAAAUUCAAUUCAAAAUUGUUCAAGUGCACCGCCACUUCUCCAUCAAUUCCCUCAAAAAUUCAUAAUUGCCAAACACUACAAACCAAAAAGAGCUUCCAGCAAUAAACGCAUAAAAAUCCACCAAGCAACAUAAAACAAAAUACCCAGAAACCAGAAAAGCCAAACGAUCAAUGCUUGGCAAACAAGCCAAUCAAAUAAAACAAAAAGAAGAGAAAUUUACCAUUAACGCUCAUAUCAGAAACAUUAGUGUCCAAAGAAGCCCGUACACAGAAUCUUGGAUCCUUCACUUGAACCCGAGACCAUGUAACGCCAGUAACUGAAGUUGCAGGAAACAGAACUGAAGAACCCAUAUUGCAAAUCCUGAGCUGAAAUCAAAGAAAUUCAAUUGGAACUCAAUUCAGCUCAACCGAGCGGAGCUCUCUUUUGCUUCAAUAACAAAGUGUUUUUCUUUCAUAUCAACAAAGAUUUGUCAACAUCAACAAAAUUUAACUAAGAAACUAAAAUAAUGCAGUAUCUUUGAGUUUAAGAAUCUAACAAGAUGUUAAGGAAGAGAGUUUUGUCAGGGAACUGUUUCGGAGAGGUUGGCCAAGUGCAUUUUUGUUUUUUUCUUGUUUUGCCCUUUUCAUUAAUGCACAACAUUAGUCCACGUGAAGAGCACAAAAUGCUGGUGGCUUUGUCACUAACGAUAAUGGAUGGAGUGUCCAAAGCAACCAACUAAAUUUUAAAGAGAGGGAAUGAUAAGUAAUAUCUUAAUGGGGUGAUUAAUUAAUUUAUUAUCAAGCAAUUGUAUUUAUUUAUUUAAAAGAUAUCCUUAUCUUUGUACAAGGUUUGAGGAAAGACGACGAUGUUGUGUUGUCACAUAUUUUUACGUUUCUCCAUAAUUCACUGCAACAUCAACUGGGCCACCACCUCUUGCCUCUCCUGGUUCCCCUCAAUUUUCGUAUUCAAUGUCCACCGUUGAUUGUACAUUUAUUAAAAUUCUGUGGUUAUUGUUUUUUUGCAUACAUUUAAUUCCACACGGUCUAUGGAUAGAGCAGGUGCAUCGUAGUUGUGGCCUUAACUGUUAUUGGUAACUCAAUAGCUAAUUCUAAUGUUUCAUCAAGCAGUUUAGAGAUAACCUCUCUCGCUGAACUCCCCGGAGUAACGCAAUCCAGUUUUCCAGUGCAAUCAUCAGACAGUUGAACAGCUUCUGAAUUCCCUUUGCUUUUCUUGUUUUCUUUUCCAUGUAAAGGGAGCUCAGGCUUCAAUAUAUCUGGGGAUUGAGUUCUAAUGAUAAAGACAACAUACGGUAGAGGACACAAAUUGUUAUUAAAGAAUGACGCACUUUUCAACUGAGUACAGUAAAGCAAGAAUGGGUAAUUAGUUUUACCUGCAACGUGAAAAUCUAGACUCCCGACGGUAACCGAUCUUUGGUGAAGCAAAUAAAGAAGAAGGCGAAGUAAAAUUCACUGAGUUGAAUGAGCGAUCAUUGUGUAUGGACUUGAUUUGUUCAAUAGGUGAAAGACUGCUGAUAUAAUUAAAGACUGGAGAAUCCUGCACGUUGACAAGCAUCAUUUUUAAUAUAACAUAGAGUCUUAAAAACCUAGUCAGUGGCAAAUGAUCACGACAAGCAAAAUGAAGUACAAACAGCAGAGCUCAACAAAUCAUUAAGAGAAAAUAAGACCAUUAACCAAGCAGAUAAAAGAAACGCAAAAUAACCCAUCUCAAAUCACCGCAUGCACAAUUUAAGGGGGCUGUUACAUGGGUUUAAGCAUGAUUUAACAAGUGCCACCAGUGAAUUCUCAAAGAUUGAAUUUUCAUACACAUGCAAAUUUCCAAGUCCAACGAAUUGUUGUCUUUCUGAAGAUAUUAACGAUGCAUAGCAUACUAUAAACAAAUCAUAUUAUUAGGGCCUUUCUUUGCUGUACACAACAUAUGUACAGAGGAACAAAUCCAUGAGCUGAAAUCAUCAUAUUCCAAAAUAUUCUACCCAAUCAACACUACAAAACCCUAACGCUAAACAGAAUUGGAGCAAUUUACGAAAGCUAUUUGUCACACAAAGCACUAGUACCUCAGAACCCAAUUUGCAAAAAAGCAACAAAAAUGAAAAAUAACAAAUGCCCAGAUGCAAAAUCAGGAAAAAAUGCUCAAAUCCAAACUACAACCCCAUAAGCUGAGAUUGACCUCAAACUUGGAAACAGAAGCGACAGUGAUCUGUUUCUUAUCUGGAGUGUCCAUUUCUAUAAUCUACUUUGUCCGUUUUCAGUCGCUCCGCCACAAAGCCUCUUCACUCCGAAGCUGAAACUCGCCACACACUUGCAAAACGAAAGCAUUUGAUCGAUUGAGAGGCGGGAAGGCGGGAAAACGAGAGAAAUUUGCUUUUGUUUUUUCUUCGUUUGGUCAUACAUGUGCGGGCCCCAGGUUCACAAGCGUUAUUAUUACUAUUUGAAGGACGCGUGUCAUGCAAUGGCGAGACAAAAAGUGGUGCAAAACUCCAAUGGUCACGAAAUGACGAUAAAAUAAAAAUAUAUCGUUAAUUUUUCACUUAACAUUGGAAUAUCAUAUAAUUUUAAGGUCAUUUUCUCGCCGUUACGCCACAUUCUUUUGAUAAAAUAAUAUGGUAAAACUUUUCUAUAAUCAUGAUAUUAGAACCUAAUUAACUUUAUAUCUAUAAAGAGGUUAUAGCUUAAUAAAGCAAAAUUGUAAAAAAUAUUAUUUUGACUUAAUUAUCUAAAGAGUAAAUAUAUGAUAAUUAAUUAAUAAAUAAUGUCAAAUACAAUAUAUGGACUAUAAUAAAAAAGAUAGACAUAAUUUCAUAAAAUUAAUACAUAUGUUUUUGUAGUGUUGCGAUUAUACAAAGUUAUCUUAAAAGUGUAAAGAGUAAAGUAUUAUUCUAAUUAAUUUUAAAAAAUAUUUUAUUAUUAACCUUUAAUGCAACAUAGUAAUUUUUUUUCCCUAGCAACAAAGUAUUGUUCCAAAUAAUUAUUAUUGGAUCUAGAUCCUGCCCUAGGCAUUUUCUCUACUAAUCCUCAUAAACUUUUAGGGUUUGUUUGGCACGUGAGAUUAGAUUGAACAAACUAUUAUGAUUGGACUAAAUUAGAAGGGAUUGGAUUGGAUUGGAUUGGAUUAUAUAUAGUGCUGACUUAUGUUUGGUAUUGUAUUGGAUUAGAUUAUGUUAAAUUAAAUUUACAUAAAAUUAAAUAGUAUUUACAUUAAUAUUUGAAUUUAAAUAUAAACUAUUUAUAGAUAUUUAACAAGAAAUAUUGUAAUUAAUUAAAAAUAGCAAUUGGGUAGUAUAAUAAAGAAAUAUAAAUUAUUUAAAUUAUAGGUUAUUUCAAAGAGUGAUGAAACAACCACAAAUUCUUGUACAAACUGAUCUUAUACAAACUGAUUUGGCAUUAAUUCAUUGAAUGAAAAUAUAAAAUAAUAAAAAUAAAUCAUGUGGGCCCAAGAUAUAUUUAAUUCAACCAAUUUUAUCAUGACACAUCAAUUUGUACAAGAAUUUGUGACUAUAUUAUUACUCUAUUUUAAAUAUGAGAGAUAUCAUUUCAUUGAAUAAAAUAAAUAAAAUUAUUCAAAUAAUAAAUUAAUUAAUAAAAUUUAAGUAAAUCAUGAAUAAAAAAGAAAUUAAUUAAUUAAAAACAGUAAAUAAUUAAAUAAUUUUUAAUUUAUAAAUAAAAUGGUAUAAUAAAUUAUGGAAGAUACUAUAAAUACACAAAUAUUUUUUUCACAUUAUCUAGUUCUAACUAAACACACAUAAAAAUUAGGAUUAGCAAUCCCAUGAAUUUAGGAUUAAAAUUUGAAUUUAGUCCAUUAAUCCAAUACAUGUGAGCAUGUCAAAUAUGGUAUUAAUAUUUUAUCGCAAUAAUAAGUCCAAUUCUACACUUAAUCCUACCUCCCAAAUAUAACCUUAAGGAUCUAUUGACAUGUGUCAUUAAUGAAAUUAAAUGGCUAAGAUUUUGUUUUAAUUAAUUUUUACCUAAAUAGACAUCAAAACUCAUGUGUGACUCUUGUUAAAUUUUUUCUUACAAAUUCUUUUCCUCUUAAUUCUUUAUAUUUUGACAUUGAUUUCCAGCAAAUUAUUAAAAAAAAGGAGCACAAAUUGAAAAAAAGUGAUUGACAACAAGGUUUGCAUCUUAAUUUCAAAAUUUUCCUUUCUUUGAUGUUUUUGUGGGUUCUAUAAUUUUGGGCGGGUUCUUAUGUAAUGUUACAAUUAACAUUAGAUUAUUUUCACGGUAUAAGGCAAAUCUUGAGAAUGAACCCAUUUCAAUAUGGUUUCCACAAUAUCAGGAUCUUCUUCUCUGCUUCUAUACGUUUAAAUAAGCUGUUUGCCCUUCCUGAUUCACUUUCCUCAUGAAACUUCAGGCCUAAUUUAUCUGCUAUUUCUCCUUGAAUCUCUCGUAUGUUUUUAUUAUGGGAUACCUCAUCUCCUUGAAUCUUUCGUAUGUUUUGAUUACGGGAUACCUCAACAAGAACUACCUGAUAAAAGAGUUCACUCUUGACUUUCCUAGCAACUUCUUCCGCCAGCUUCGUCUUUCCGAUUCCGCCCAUUCCAUAAAUCCCAAGCAUGUUGACAUUGGGAUUUUUUAAUGCAUCCAUUAUGUCAUUCAGAAUGGGCGCUCUUGAUACAAAGGCCUCGUAGUCUUUGUUAGGGAUAAGCCGAAUAUCCUCUGCAGCAGUACGGUAGGAAAUUCUAUCAAAUCUUCUAGCGUCCCGGACUUUGACAAUAGCCUCUUUCAACGUCACUGCUUCCAUGCUAAGUCGACGGCGGGUCUUCAAAUUAGGACACAACCCCUUGAAACAACGCUUAUUUGCUGCGGCUUCAACUUCUGUAAAUUUAUCUGCCUCUUCAAUGACUUUGUUGGCCCCUUCAAGCCAACUCCUAACGUUC
rnacentral:lncRNA from 1 species